rnacentral:lncRNA from 1 species
AUACACUAAAAAUAUAAGAGAAAACUUUAAGAGUGCGUUUGGUUCGCGCUAUCUUUUUAAGAUUCUUAGUAAUUCAAUAGGAAUAAAAAAAUAUGACGGUGUUUGGCUAAACGCAUUAAUUAAUCUAGUUGGUAAUAUUGGAUUUACUUGGAAAUAAGAUGCAUCCCAAAAUACUAAUCUCAUUCCUUUAAGAAAAGGUGGGUAUCCUUACAUUAAUGGAUUGGAGUAAUUAUAAUAUGUCUAGUAUUUUUCUUUCUUCCGACCCGACGACUAGUUAGUAUUAUUUUUUUUUACACUCUAACCUUAUUUCUCCCUCUAAACUUUUCUUUUUCUCUCUAAACUUCAACUUUUUUUCUCUCUCUAAACUAAGCUAUUUCUCCUUCUCUUUUUCUAAAAUCUCAAUCUUCUUAUUCUCUCUAACCUCGACUUUAUUUCUCUUUCUAUUUCUUUAAUUAUGCUCUUUCUUUCUAACCUAUAUUCUCUUUUUCUUUUUUCUAAAAGAAUGUUAAAAUUUUUUAUAGUAUUAUUUAAAAUUAAUUAAAAAAAAUAAAUUAACUAAUUGUAUAUUUUUCGUAAUCUUAAAUAACUUGACUAAAUAAUAUAACCGUAUGAACCAAAUACCAAAAUAUUACAUUCUUAGUAAUAAGAUGAAUAGUAAUAAAAUUCUCAGAUAUCUUUUUACUCUUAGUAAUGUUUCAUAGUGCGAACCAAACGUGCCCUAAAUACCAUCCAUAUAAUUCAUACUUUUUUAUUUUAAUAUUCUGUAUUUUAAAAUGUAUCAUUUUCACACUCUAUGAUUUUAUUUUAUUCUUUUGUAAUUUCUUUCGCUAAUUUUUUUUUUUUGUUAAAUUAGUGAUAGUUAAAACUAAAGGAUACUUACGUAAAUAUACGAUAAACUAUAGAUGAUGUAUCUAAAGUUUUUUACAUCUGAUUUAACGAAAAGCUAAUGACAGGACUAACGAAAAGAAAAAAAUGAAACUUGUACUAAAUUGAUAUUUGAAGUUUAUCCCUAAAAUAAUAGUCUCACAUUGAUCGUUUGUAGUUUGUAGCGCAGGUGGUAAAAAACUUGGUAAAAACCUUGAUGAUUGGUAUUUGAAAUUUUAAGCUCGAAGCUCAGUUGUUUUGCAAUCUUAGCUAAAUUCAUUUUUUAAAAUAAACGAAGCAAACAGCAUUGUUUUUGAAUUGAAUUAGAGUCUUUGUAUAUAGUAUUGGAAUUUAGUUUGCACCUUUUUUUUUUUUUGCGUGCUAGUUGUCUAAGGUGCGCGAGGUUGUUGGGACCAUAGUUAGUUAAUUUGGAUUGGGCAAAAAUUCGGUACGGAUAUAAUAUGUAUAAAAUUUAUUUUCUAAUUCUUAAAUUCGUUGAAAAAUUAGGCUUAAAAAACGGAUUCGGUAUAAAAUAUAAAAUAUAAGAUAUACAAUAUAAGAUAAUUUAUAUUUAAAAAUAAAAAUUAUAAGUUUUUUAUUUAUAUUUUUAAUCAUUGGGGAAUAAUUUCCGAAUAAUUCGCGAAUAAUUCGGCUGGCCCAAAAAUUCACAAAUAAUUAUCCUUCUUUAGAAAAAAUUCGUAAACAAACCGUUUAAUUUGGAUUUUUAAUAAUUUGCGAAUUAACUAACUAGGGUUGGGGACUUGAUUUUAUUAUUAUCUAAGUCAUAAAACUAAAUUAAAAUUAUUUCCUAUCGAAUCGAUUCUUUGGACAUUGUAGUAACUUUUAAGCUCUCUUCAUUUAAAGGUACCAUGCAAGGUGACAUGGUAUGUCCGAUCUCUGCUCUACAUUUUAAAAUUAUUUCCGUAUUAUUUACUAUAAAAUUAGUGUUUAAUAUCACCACUCUUUAGGUCCACUGGACGAGGUCCACCCAAAUAGUUUAUUCUGAGAGGGGAAAUUAGGUGGCGUGAAGCUAUCACGGUUCACGGCCCUGAUCUCCGGUUCGAACCGGGAUUGUAUGGUCCCGUUCGGACCGGAUCAUCCGGUUCGAAGGGGGCCACGCAACGGGACAAUGCAGAGGAGAGAGAUGAGCUCAUGUGGGAGAACAUGGAGCGUCUCCUCCUUCGCAACAAAUGACAAAAUUAUAAAAGCCAAAAAAGAGAAAAAAUAAAACAAAAUUUAUAUUCAAAUAUAAAGGACAGUUUAAUAAAUUUAAUAAAAGAAUUAAUUGUAUACAGAUUUUUGUAAAUAUAGUGAAUUGUAAAUAUAUUUCUACAAAAGCCCUUGAUGUUUUUAAAUAUAUUCUUACCGUUAGAAAAAUUUAUUAAACUGUCCUUUAUAUUUGAAUAUANAAUUUAGUUAAUCAUAGGUUAAAUAUUUAAGCUUGAUUAGUUAAUGAAGUGAAUUAACCAUUUUAUCCCUCUUCAAUUAAUAGUUAGAAUUUUUGAAGAAACAUAUUUAUGAUGGCAAAAAGAUCAUUUUAUUUAUAAAAUAGACGGUGUUUUAACGGUAACAAAAUAAAAAAAUAUAUUUGAAAAUAUUAAAAUUUUUAUAAAGACAAUAUAUAAAAAUCAAAUUUUAUAGAAAUAUAUUUAUAAUUUCUUAUAUUUCGUAGAGAUUUGUAUUAAAUUAAUCUUUAAUAAAACUACUCUGUGAUAAAAAGGUUAGUUAUCAAUGUUGGGUAAAAUGUGUGCAUAAAAAAUGCAGCAUUUUUUUCCUUAUGCACACAUUUUAGGUCUGGUUGGAUUUAAGAAAUGCAGUUUUUCUAAUUUUCAUUUCUUAAAUUUUUUUGUUUAAAACAAAUACCAUCUUAGUGGUUAAUAGUAGAACCAACUUUUCCUUUUCAGUUGUUAAGUUUGCACCUAUUUUAGAUUUAUUUUUGUUUCUCUAUCUUAUACAAUUUUUCUUUCUCAUAAAUUUUAUUAUCGUUUUUUCUUGCAAAUGUUUACAUUUUUGUAAAAAAAUAUGUAUUAUUUUAGACAAAAUUUAAUAACUUUAUGGAGAGCAAUUGAUUAAAUAGUACAAAGAUACAAAAUGUUUACAUUUUUUUAUCAAGUUAGUUUUCAAAUAUUUUAUUAUUAUUUUAAUAUAUUUUAUUAUUUUUUAAAUCAAAAUAAGCUUAAUAUAUACUCGGUCAUUUUUAAACAACAUAAUUUUAACAAUUUUUAUAUAAAAUUAUAGAUUUAUUACUUACAGUUUAAACAUUGAAAAAAAAGAUAGUUGAAUUUUGACUUUAAGAAAAAAAAAAAACACGAUGGAAAGUAAAAAAAAAAAACAUAUAAAAUCUAGUAAAAUAUAGUAUAGUAAUAGUAAUUAAGCCUUUUAGAAAAUUACGGUUAAGAGUCUUUGAGUUCUAAAAAGCCCAAAAGGAGAUUUAGCUAAUAAUUUCGGUCUAGUUUAGUAAUGUGGUCACUAAAAUUAUUAUUGUUAUGCUACAUAAAAAUUAAAAAUUUUAAAAGUACUUUUAAUAUUUUUUUCUAGAAUAUUAUAAAAUUACGAUUAUAGCCGUCACUGAAAAAAACAUAAAGUCACAUGCUUACUGGAGAAGCAUGUUACAAAUGUAAUUACAUUUUUAAUAUAUUGGCCGAGAAAAAAGUUUCAAGGUGGGAUUAAAGUAAUUUUGUAUUUGGUUGAGAAUUAGGUUUAGUUCAGAUAUAGAUAAAAUAAUAUUUGGUUGGAAUAGUUGGGAUAAGAAGAUAGUGGAUAAAAUAGUAUUUUGCUUGGUUUGAGUAGUGGGGUGGGGUGGGAUUAGUGAACUUCACUCUAAAUGGGCUAUUCCGGAAUAGUCCAUUUGGAAUGAAGUUAGCUAACCCCACAUUCCAAAUUGGGCGUUUGAAAAUAACUUUGGGGUUAAGGAGUUAUUCCACCCUUUAACUCCGAUCCAAACCGGUGCAAAGGUCUUAAAUAUUUUGGACCUCCUAUAAUAUAAAAAUAAUACUUGUAACUAUCAAUCAUCAAACUAGGCCUUUUACGGCGCGAUAAUUCGGAUAAGAAAGAAUAAGCAAAACUUUGUCGGUUCCACGAUUUCUUCAUAGCUAGCGUUCUUUUUCAGAAAUUAUUUUGUGUGACCCUACAUCCCACCAACGGUCGAUCCUUCAACUAACCAAAUAUAAAUCUACCCUGUGCUUAACUUUAAUGGAUUAAUUAAUUAAUAAUAAUUUAAUUAAUAUUUGAUUGAGUUUUAACUUUUAAUUUCCGUAAAAAAUAUAUAUUUGUAAAUAUGAAAUGGUUAGAUUUCACAUCUUGGUUCGGUUCGGUUCACAAUAAUGAGUAUGUUGUUAUUGCACCAGUGACGCACAAACCCCGCUCGACCCUUCUGGAACCUCCACCCUAUCCUUACGUGCCACGUCACCAUCAAUCCCACCCCGCCCAUUUAUACUCCCACCUCUCCCCCUCCUCCUUCCUCCCCACUCCUCGCUAGUACACUACGCUCUACUCUCUCCACCCAAAAAAAAAAAAAAAACAAAAAAAACUCAGCAUUUUCAUUUUAAUCUUUGUUUGUGAAUUAUUCUUCUUAAAUUUCGAGCUCAUUUCAUAGCACUCGUUUCCAUUUUAACCAAUUAUUUUCAAAUUAUUAUUCUUUUUAGUUUCCAGGCAUUUUUAGCACAUUCUUUUGUUGUGUGUUUACUCACUUUCUAAUUUUUUUUACCCCCAAAUUCUCAUACUGAAAAAAAAAAAAAAAACCAAAAAAGAAAAGAAACGAGCAAAUUAAUUAAUUAAUUAAUUAAGAAAAAAGAGGGGGAGAAGAGAAUGGCGGAGAAACCUACCGCGAAACCGGCGCUGCAGAAGCCGCCGGGGUACCGCGACCCGGCGCUGCAGAAGCCGCCGGGGUACCGCGACCCGGCGCUGCCGCCGCCGCCGCAGCGGCGGCCCCCGGCGCAGCUCCACCCGGCGUUCCGCCACCCGGGGAAGCCGCUCCCCCGGCGCCGCCGCAGCGGCGGCGGCGGCGCACCCUCGCUCCGGCGCGCCCUCUGCUGCGCCCUCGCCGCCGCGCUCGCGCUCACCCUCGCCGCCGCCGCCGCCGCGGCGCUCGCCUACCUCUACUACCAGCCCCGCCUCCCCUCCUUCCUCCUCCUCUCCGUCCGACCCCACCGCGCCCGGAUCUCCCCCCGAUCCGACGGCGGGGACGCCGUCGACGCCGCCACCUCCGUGCGGCUCCUCGCGCGGAACCCUAACGGGAAGAUCGCGCUCGAGUACGGCCCCGGCGAGGCGGCCGUGGCGGCGGAGGACGAGGACGGGGACGUGGCGACCGGCGCUGGGCCAAGGGCCCGGUUCCGCAGCAAAUCGGUCCGGUUCAAGGUCGAGGUGCGAACCCGGGUCGGGAUUCUGGUGGGCGGUAAGGGCACCUGGAAGGUCCCCAUACGGGUCGAGUGCUCCCCCGUGAGCUUGAAGCGGGCCCAGGGAGACGGUGACCCGAUUCCCUGCCGCAUCUACUGGUUCAAAUGGUCAGUGCUUAAAUCUCUCCUUAUUCCCGCUUUAUAAUUAUUAUAAUAAUAAUUUAUUAUCUCAAACUUACAAAAUAUUUUAACCAAGUAAAAUAAUAUGUUCGAUAAAUUGUUUAAUUCUCAUUUGUUGUAAUUUCGCAUCAAGAUAAAAUUAGAUUUGUAAUUUCGCGAAUUCAAGUUCAGGAAGACGCAAGUAAAACUUCGCGACAAGGUUUUAGUGGUAGAACUCAAAUUGAUGGAUCUUUUUGAGAAUUUAGAGGUCGGGUUGCAAAUUUGUGUUGUUGAUAAUUUAGUACAUUCUAGGUUAAAUUGAAGCUACAUAAUCACCCACCCUCUUUAGCUUAGAGCCUGUUUGAUGCAGUUAUAUUAGCACACAUGAAUCCGAUAUAGUAAAAUUGUCAAAUCCAAUGCUAUCAUAAAAUUUACAAGACGAAAGUCGCCUAUCGACAAGUGUAAUUCACAAGAAAUUCUAACAAAUUGAAUUGAUGCUCUCCAGUUUGGUAAAAUUGAUUUUUCAUUAGAGCAUUGCUCAAAUCAUUUAUUAGUAAAUCUAUGAAUUAGCUUUAAAAUUGGCUCUGAUAAUAACAUUACCCUAAAAAUGAAACGAUUGAGUGGGAACUGUAUCGACGACCGACACAUAUCAGAAUCUAUGUACCAAACUUUUGAGGCUUUAAGCCUCAUGUAGGUAAAGCACAAAAAGUUGGUGGAAUCAAUAGAUCAUGAUUAAAUAAUAGGUCCCAUUAUUCUUAAAUCUUUUUGAAGCAAAGAGCAAGGAAUAGGAUUCUCCUAUAUAACAAAAUUUGGCAUUUUUUGUAGAUAAUAUGGGCCUUGGAAUGAUGAUGAGAAGUCAUUAUCUUUAAAAGGACAUUAUUGCACAACUAAUGGGCCAUAGUUAGACUAAGCAGAGCAUUUAGCUUAUUAGGUGUGAGUAGCUGCUCAGGCUCCAUCAGUGAGCCCAAAAUAGCGACUGACCAUCUAGCUAGGGUGGCGGGUUAGAUCCCAUUGUAUUAUCGAUCGAUCGAUUCAUUUAAUCAAUAAGUUAGUUCUGAUCAUUAAUUGAAUUUAUGAUCGUGUUUAAUGGUUCUGAUUUGCUCGUCAGUAAAAGUGACUCUGUUAAUAUUAUAUCGUGAUGUAAACUUUCUUUUUCAUUGAAAACUAUUAGCUAUCAUGUGAAGUUAAAAAGAAAAAUUUAUCCAAUUGAAGUUUUUGCCUUGCUCGGAAUAUUAAUUGAAAAAUCUUUUAAUGCCUUUUUUUUUUCCCUUCAAUUUUCAGGAUAAAUCUGAAUUAAUAUGCUGCAGGCUCGCUAAAUUACACGGUUUGAAGAACUAAUGGAUUUUAAAAGGAUUUGCGCUUGGCUUUGCAAUAUAUAUUGUUUUCUUUUUUUUGGCUAGUAAGCCUAAUGCAUGUCCCAGCAUGAAGAUGAAGACAAGUAAUAUGAAGCGCAUGGCAAGCCCAACUCUGUUCAAUUAAUGUGUAAAUUAUCUAUUUAUGAAGCUGUCGAGACCGGCGCAAUCGCAUUUUACCCAUUGAUUACGAUAUUCUUUCUCUUGUAAAAAAGCUUGUGAUCUUCUUUAUUUGUUGAGACCAUAGUCUGAAUAAGGUGUUGUAUGUGGCUAGUAUGUUGAUAAUUUUAUGAGGAGGUUGUGUGUCAGCAAGAUUGUUAUCUUUAUAAAAAGGCAUGUUUCUAUCUAAGGCUAAUUUGUACUUGCACUGUAAGUUGAAGAUGUGAUAAAGCGAGAUGUUACUUAAUAAUGUUGUUAGUUUUUUUUUUUUUGAGGGAGAUAGGUAGCAUGCUAUCCGCCUUGUUUAUUUUAUUUAGAAAUAAAUUUUAGGGCUAUAUGUUCUGAUUACUAGGCCCGUGGAUAGUGACUGGUUGUUGUCAACUGGGCCCAAUAAUGACAAAAAAGAAAAGGACCCAGAAGGGGAGCUCUGGGUUGUGUCUGAUUCAAUGUGACCGGUCACUUUGUUGCAGUCGAAGGCUCAAACCCUUGCAUGAGUACAUAUACUUAUGAGUCCAGCUACUAUACUCUUUUGAUGGAGUAUAGUUUCUUUUGUUAGUUUUCGGCCGUUAAAUCUCCCAGUUUGACUAUUUUCAUCUGUUAGAUCAUACUAUUCAACCCUAGGGGAUUACUAUCAUGCUAACCACACAUCCCUUCAUCCCACGGUCGAAAAUUUAUGAAUACAAAGAGAUCUAUAUUUAUAAGAGUAUAGUAGCUUUACUCAUAUAUUUAUAUAAGUAAAUUUUUUAGAACUUGAUCUAGCUAGUAGUUGAUUAAUAUCCUAUAUGAGGAUGAAGGACCAUAAUGAUAUGCAUGGAUGCAACAUGAAGAAUUGGUUCUUAUUUUUCUAACUGUAUAAGAGGAGGGUGUAGUGAGUUGUAACAUUAAUUGUUGUCUUUGCUCAUUAAUUUCCUUCUUAAUUAGUCCAACCAACUACAAUUGAAGGCCAUGAUUCCUCUUUAUCUUUGAUGCAAAAGGCAUGGGCUUAAAGAAUUUCAUAGAGGCCAAGACAUGGCUUAAAUCAAUCCAUAAUCUCAUUAUUAUCUUAAUGCAUGGUGUAGGGAUUAUAUAAAUUGAUAAUUGAACUAAUGAUGUAAUUAAAAGGUGUGGCUCUUAAGUUCUCUGUGUGGACAGGGAAUGCAUAUUAAGUUAGAAUUAUUGAAGGUCUACAAAGCAAGUACUAGUAGAUUCACCGCAACUUGCUGUGUUUUAAUGCUCUAAUUAAGAGAUUGAUCAAUAGAAUCCAAAAGAUUGUUUCAGCUUUUAUACAUCACGUGGAGCUGAAAUAAGUGUUGGAAUGAUGCUCAAAUAAAAUAUUUUAACUUAAAAAGCUUCAACUUCCACUAAUCUGAUGAAACUUCUUAUAACUUCUUCGAACAACAGUAUUUUUAGUAACACUUGUGAAAGAAAAUUCUACACAGAGGCUUCUCUGGCCUGAGUUGAACUCGGGUCGGUUCUGUGCCCAUCCUUAAUCUUCUUACUUAAUAAAGCUGAGGCAAUUAAUGUGUACUUGAACUGUAUUAUUAACUUUAUGAUAUUGUCUACACAAUUAGUUUCAUCAUGCUUGAGUUAGAAUAAUUAUAAGUUCAUGUACGUGUGCUUCAUGAGAUCUAAACUGGUAAAAAAUAAUAUUUCAAAUCUGUACCAACUAAAUAUUUUCUGUGUGUGUGUUCGUGUGCAUGAAGAUAAUUUAUUAGCUGGACCUGGUCCACAACAUCAACCAUGGACCAUCUAACGAUCUACCUUCGUAUCCUGCGUGGUUUUAAUCAAAAUCCAAACACUUAAAUCAAAUAUAUAUAAAGAGAGAUAAUUGAUGUAAUCACCACCAUUAGCCAUCCACAUCUCCAAUUCUUUUGGUUUCAACUCUUUUGGCCAGAGCUUACAAUUAAUAAGAUGAUUAUACACUAAUAAUUGUACAUAUAUGUUGCAAUGAUCUAGCUAUUACCUUCAUAUGCAAUUUAUAACCACUGCUAAAUACUUAAUUUAAGCAAUAUUGCAUAGCAAGCAAAUUAAGCAAAAUGGUUAGACGAUCUAAUAGUUUAAGGAUGGAAAGCGAUAUUAGCGGAUCAACAUUUACCAGCGGAUUUGGUCAAAUUCAAUCAAAGAAUAAUAAUUAAAUUUAAUGAAUGUAUCUACCAGUAGUAAUUUUUAAUUAGUUCGUAUCAUUACAUUCGAAUACGCUAGAGCUUCUUGAAAAUCAAUAGCUUGUUAUUAGAAUUAUUUGAUGUAGCAAAAAUUCAUUUAUUAAAGCCUCAAUCCAAUAACUUUUUAUUGAUGGAGAUAUAUAUAAGCUUCGAAUCGAAGCUACUACUUUUAAAAUUGUGAAACUUAAUUAAUUUGUUUUCCAUGAUAUGAGGCUAACAAGUUUUACUGUAAUUUGCAAGCACAUGACUACUAUUUAAUUCUAGGAGUAGAGAGGCUGUUUUAGAAGCAGGCCAAACGCACGUACUAUGUCCUUUUCUGUAUUAUAUUUUUAAAAUUCUAAGGUGAACGUACGGGAUCGAUUAUUAUCCAAAAUGGUGAAAUUAAUUAAGAAAAAGAAUUUAUUGAAUAAGACACAAUUACAUAUAUGACGGUGCAUCGAAAAAGAACAUGAUUAUGAUAAGGUUCGUAGGUGGUGAAAUGAAUGCUGAUGCUCAUUUUAUUUGAAACUUGAAUGAAUCAUGAAGCAGAUAUUUUUCCUACAUUUAUUAGAGGAUUAUCAAUUACAAGUGAUCGAUAUAUUAUUAGUUCAUGAUCAAGUCAAUUAGCUGAUCUUUAUUUUCUUAUUGUUUAUAUAUAGGAAUAGUCGUAGUAUAUGUAAUAGUGAACUAUAAAAGAAUCUAAAUACAAUUAAGGACCAUAAAAGAAUAAAAGCGUGGAAAAUAAUUUUAAAAGAUAUUGAGAUAUAGGCAUAAGUAUGAAAAUGAGUUACACUAUAUAUCCCCUUCAUGUUAAUGUUAGGUGUACUAAAGCAAGAGAGAAAUUAAUCUUUCAAAUUCUAUCAUAAAGUAAUAAUUUUCAUCAAGAAAAAUGAAGUUCAAUCAAAUUCCACAAUAAAUUAGAGAGAGCUACGACAAAUUUUUCAAAUCAUACGAUAUGUUAGUUGAGACAUUCAAAUGAAAACAUGGCAUAUUGUUACAUAGCCGAUCAAAUUAAGAAACUCAAAUUAAUAAGAAUUUUUUUUACCCCGCUUGGAUGAUUCACAAAACCAAAUUAAUUGUAGAUUUGAUGACCCGAAAUAUUAUAUUAUAUAUAUGGAUCAUUAAUUGUUAGAAUCAAGGUCGUGUGACAUCCAUAUGGUGACAUUUAAUGAAGGAGACGUACAUUGAAGAAGAAGAAGCACAAUCAUGUAGUGUAUAAUAUAAGCUUUGUCGACCUUAACUUAAUGCAACAUGUAUGUACAUAAAAAUAGGUGCAUGAUAUUAUGAUUAGCACACGUAAUUAAGAUAGUUAAUGCCACCACCUUAUGAUGUUCUCUCUCUCUCUCUCUCCACCUUUGAUAUAUAUUUGUUAAGAUUAUUAUUGAACUGCUUAUAUACAGUCUUAGAUCAAUCUUUUGUUGACAUGGUAUAAGAGCAGAUCCUAAUUAAUUAAUUAAUCAUCUAUUGAUCAUAUAUUUUGAAAUUUUGUGCCAUUUGUUAAACAAUCGAACUUGUUGCAUUUAAGUUGCAACUUAUUAAGUAUGAAUUAGAUAUAUAGCUUCCAACGUCAAAACCCACAUGCCUACCCCAACAUUAGCCUCAAAUCAUGAUCUAAAAAAAUAUAUAUAUUUAUGUAUUUAUCAAUUCAUUUACUAGUUCCGUGGAGGUGUACUGUUGAGUUCGUGCACACGAGUGGGCUAACUCAAACACCUAAAAAAGUAAAAAAACCUUUAUUUUACCUUACUUGUAGUGCUUUGGAACUUUGGCAAAUGGCAAUACCGACAAAAAAAUAUUGCUAUAAAAGGCAUUAUUAUAUAUAUAUAUAUAUAUAUAUAUAUAUAUAUAUAAAUGAAACUAGCCUAUAAACUUAAAAAAGGCAUGUUCACGAACAAAAUAAUAAGAUUAGAGAUAUCACCACCUUAUUUAUUAUAUCAGUGGAUGAUGACGUGUCCACCACCUGGCCCACACGUGGGAGGGAACCAUUGUCUUAAGGGUUUCACACACUUUUUGAUGUACCGUAACAUAGUAUAUGUCUAAUUCUAUAAAGCAUUGAAAAAUAGUGAAAAAGAAUGAGCACUACGUUGCAUGUCUCCAUGAAUUAAUCCUGAGAUGGUUUAGAUCUAAGUUUUGAGUAGCAAAAUGCACAAUAUGUCCUAUAAAAUAAUUAUAUAGGUGUUUUUCUUAGAUGGAUGUACUAUUUUGAUCAUAAUUAUUGUUUCUAAAGUGCGUGAGGAUCAUAUAAUUAAGUUAUAUUAAGUACAGGAUUAAUUCCAGAAAAAUUUAGAAAUAGUAAUUUAUUAAGUUUGAUGGUGAAGUACAUGAUCUAGUACUAUAAAUACUGUUUUUGUGGGAAAGAUUCUAAAGAAGCAAAAACUUAGCAUGGGUGAGACAUAAAUGUGUUCGACUUUUGUGCAAUACAUAUAUAGCUAAAAGGUAGGUUUAAUUACGCAUGCAAAACUCAUAAAAGUUUGAAUUUAUGAAGUAAAUAUCUUAAUGUUGUACGUAUUAAUUGUUUUAAAAAGUUUAAUUAAUACAACGAGAUUACAAUAUAUAUUAGUUUAUAGCAAUAUAAUUUCUCACAAAAAAAUAAAGAUCGUAAAAGAGAUCUAUUCAUUCAAAGACCAAAGUACAUUUCAAUAUCUCUCUUGAGACCUUUGACCACAAAUUCCAUUAUUAAUUUAGCGCGCUCUAUUAAUAGUUUCUUCUAAUUGGAUAUUAUUAGUCUACAAAGAAUCUUGGAAUAACAAUGCAACUAGAGCAUCUUUUGAACCCAAAGAAAACCCAACUUAAGCAUGCAUGUGCUAGACUUUUUUUAAUUAAUUUCUGGUGUACUUUGUCAUCUUUUACUCUAAUUCUAGCAUCACAAUAAUUAAUUGGCUUUGUUAAACUUUGUGUCGAUUUAAAUCCGUGUCGAUGGUUACUUCGAUCAGAAAAUCACAUAGGUAGUACGAUCCAUUGAUGCUCACUUCGUACAAGUUUAUAUAUGUUUUAUACAAAAUAUAUCUCAAUCGCGAAUUUCGUGUCAGUAAAGUAUUUCUGUAGCGAUCGAGCAUAUUAAUUUGAAUUUUGAAGAGUAUCUCCGUGUUUGUCUAUUUUCUAAUUGACCAUGCCAAUUUAUCAAAAUUCUCAUAUUUUUUGAUAUUUUGUAUCAUCCUAAUGCAUAGGGUUUUAGGUUUUAGAUGCUCCGUCGAUCUUAAAUUUCUUUUCCACAAUCUUUUCAAACACUUUUCCUGCAAAUAGAUUACAAAGUGAAUUGUUUCCUAAAUUUUUUUUAAAAAAGAAGAUAUAUCUGACGUGUACCUUGUUUGCGUGGACCUAUCACAAGAGAAGCGACAAUUGGGGACGAGUCAAAUUUUCGGUCACUUUCCCACGUCACAGACUCGCAUUUGCUCUUGCGGUCCCAACCCAACGAUUUGGGAUGUUGCGAUCCGACGUGGCGGCCUGUGAAAGCUCUCGUGUCUCGGGAUUCGGGCGCCACGUCACAGCCACGCAUGCGGCGGUAGACCGGUAAGUUGACCAGGGUGGUUUCCAGGACCCAAUGGUAGACCGACACGUUGGUCAUCUAAACAUUAAUUGGCGUUGCUCGAUUCAUUGUAUCAUAUUAAUUUAUCUCUAUUAAAAAAUAUAUGAAAUAUUUUUAAUUUAAAAUUUAAAUUUUUUUAAAAGUUUUAAAUAAAGAAUAUAAUAUUUAGAUAGAAAUAAAAUUGAUAUAUAACAGAAGAUUGAGGCUUUCUAAUGAAGUUUUUUUCGCUGCCGGUUUCACUGUCGAGCAAGGGCGGAUCGACUGAGCCAGUCGUCCGCCUAUCUUCCGGUCACCGAACAGGCAUUGCACAGUCCAUUGCCACUUUUGGCAUCCGAGUAUAAACUACGUUAUUCCCUUAUUUGGGUAUCAUAUAUGAAAAAUAUUUAUGUACACUUUAUUAAUAAAAUAUAAAUUUAUAUGUCGGAUCGGAGAAUUAGAGUGUAAGAUGUAUGAGUUGAGCACCAGUGCUUUUAAAAGCAUAAGAGUAUUUGUGGUUUUGACUUUUUAGCCUUCGGAUUGCUUCAAGAUUCGUAUAGCGCGCGUUAUUAUCCGUGUCUCCCAUUAAAUCCUUGUUACUAGUGCUACACGAAUUUUGAGUGAAUUCCAAAACUAAAAAGUUACAAAUAUAUUAAGUUAUUAUUAAAUAGUCAUAUGUACAAAACCAAUUCAUCGUAUUUUAGAAAUAGCGGUGACAUUAUCCUUAACCCCCCCAAAAAAGGGUUAAAUUAUUGGGUAGGCACUGUCUAGCGAAUUAUUUUUAACCUUAAACACAAAAUAAAACUUAAGUGAAAUAAACAAUUAUAAUAUUGGCAAUUGAGUGAUUAUACAUUAAUUGUUAAGGUACGAUUCUACGUUGAUUACUUAAUUUCAACUCCAAAGAGUCACUAAUGCGGUCAAUUAAUGUUUCUACACAUUGACCUAUUUUAGUGUUGUACGAUAAUUAACACUCGUAAUCUUAUUGUAUAUAUUAAAGCAUUUAAUGAAAGAGAAUAAAUGCAAUUAUUAAGCAAAUAAUAAUAGAUAAUAAUGAAAUUUUCUGAGACAAGUGCUACAUUGUCAAAUAUGCUUUUAGGGUAGUUUUUUCGCAUUGAAAGAUUGAAGAGGAAGUGAAAUUAACAAAACUAUUCAUAUGAAUGAUGAUUGUCGAAUCCUUGGCAGUGGAUGAAAGCCACAUUAAUUAGUAAAUUUUCAAAUUUUAAUUUGUAUUCAAAAUUAUAUGUAUAAAAUGUAUAAAAUUAUGAGAGUAAAAUUUGAUUUGGUUUCUACAUUCCUUAUUAGCUCCUCUUUGCAGUCAUAUAAUGAAAACCGGUUCGAACAUGGUCAAUCUUCAUGUGGCACGACAAAAACGGUGCAAACACAGGGUGAUCGCUUUACUCAUCUAUGGCAGGGAUACAUCUGGUGUUAUCAAUACGAACAAUAAAUGAAUUCGUAUCUUCUAUCAUAAUUUUUCAAUUUUUCGAAAAGGUUUUUUCUUAUGGUUCUUCCCUAUCACGAUUUGUAAAAGUGCGAGAUAUUCAUAGUCUAUUUCUUUUUUCUUGAGAUCAUUGAGAGGACCUUUCCCUAGUACAAGAGGACCGGGAAGGUCGACGCACCUCUGGUGUACCAAUUAUUGUGGCCAAAUAUUGAUUCUGAAAUGAAAUUGAUAAACAGCGAGAGGUGGGGAUAGAACUAUGGAGAGGGGAGCUUUUUCUCAACUGGAGCCGUCAUAGAAAACUUAAGAUUAGUGUUAGACGGAGACUCCUAUUAUAUAUAUAUAUCUAUAUAUAAAACAGAAUGAUGUUCAAUCACGCACGUCUGCUCAUCAAAAACAUGCCAAGACACGCUCCAACUGUUAUAUUGCAUAUAUCCUUAGGGAUCGCUUUAAAUAAAUCACGUAGACGACAUCUGACAUCUGAAACCAUCCUACGCACUCGCUCUAAAUGCGUCCUACCUCAAAUGAGUCCCUCAUUUGCCCCAUAUCAAGAAAUUUCUCGUGCCCAUGAGGUUUGACAAGUAGCAUGUUAAUUGUGGCAGGUCUCAUACAACCCCAGCUGUGGCCUCAGCAUCUCUUUGCACUUCAUGUGGGAUCUGCAUAAACUAUAUACAAAAGAACACCUCUUCCAAUGCUAAGCAUACACUAUUCCAUAUACAAGUUGAAAUCUAAGGUACUAUGAACAUGUAAAUAUUAAUAAACUUGUAGCUUAACGAAUCUUUCUCCCAUAUGUCAUUAAAAAUAUAUAGUUUGCUAGCAAAUUUGGUGUUUGCUUUGUUACUUUACGAAUUUCAAGAUAAUAAGACUUUGUAUUAGCCUAAUUAAGUACUCAUUUAGUUUCUUUUGCAAAUCCCUAAACUGUUAAAUGAUCUUAACUUACGAAAUGAAUGACAAAUACAUUGGAGUAAGAGGCGCGAGACCGUACACGUCGAGUCCUUAAAUAAUAGGGUGAUUUGGGCUUGGUGCAUCCAUGUUUCACUCUAUAACUUAUUCGCAAUGAUCCGAUAUAUGCAUGUUUUGUUGGAGAAUAGAGAAUAAUGAUAAAGAUAACAUUUGAGCUUUUACUAUAUAGAGAAUGUAAAAAGAAAAAGUAAAAUUCUGAGCGUAAAAGUAAUAUUGUAUAUAAAAGAUAUAAUUUCAAACUUUAGAUCUUCUGCAAAAGAAGGUAACUAAAUAAUUUUAUGUAACGUAGGAUUUUUUUUUUUUUACAUUCUCUAUAUAGUAAAAGCUCAAAUGUUAUCUUUAUCAUUAUUCUCUAUUCUCCAACAAAACAUGCAUAUAUCGGAUCAUUGCGAAUNAAGAUUUUUUUUUUUUUAAUAAAUAAUGGACAUCUCAUAAAUCGUUUAUAAGUACUUGUAUAGUUUAUAAUGUUGCUGGUAAAUGUUAUUACCAUAGUUAUAACUUAUAACAAGGCAUCUUGUCCUCCUAAUAUGCAAAAAAAUAAUAAUAAUAAAUAGAUGAAAACCUUUUUUUUUUUUUUCUUUUUUUCUUUUUUUUGUUGGAAUCAGAGUAUUCCAUAAGAGCCAAUCAUGAAGCAGAUAUGGAGGCGAUAGAGAUUACGUUCCAUGGUGUCUUAUCACGUAAGUGACAGCAAAAGAGAAUGUUUCUCCAAAUUCUCUCCUUUUAACUUUCACCUCAAGCAACACAACAGGGAUCUUGGUUUCUCUUGGGCCCCACCCCUUCUCUCUUGGGCCCCACCCCUCCUCACUAGCCAAAAAUAAACAUUCUAUAAAAAAGCUCCUUAUAAAAGCACUUUAUUCAAUUUAUAGUGUUGUUAAUUUAACUUAUUCACUUAAUUUUUCAAAAAAAUAAUAUAUAUAUAUAUAUAUAUAUAUAUAUAUAUAUAUAUAUAUAUAGCAAAAUGGGUUGAUUUGUUUUCGCCAAAAUAAUGACGCAAAUAUCAAUAGCCUAGUAAAUUAGUUUAUUCUCAAGUUUUUACCCUACUUAAUUAUCGGUUCGCAUUCAAUUGAAUACAUCUUUCUUCGAAACUAUUGCUUAGAAUAAAUCGAAAUGUUUUAAAAUAUAAUAAAAGUUGUUACAUUAUUAGUACCAUUAAUAGUUUUCCAUACCAGCGAAAAUGUAAAAAUCAUAAUUACACAUGUUAUUUUUGCGGCCCAAAAUCUAAUUUUAACUUACGAAUUACAAAAAAAUCAGAUUUUUCUUUUCUUCUUUUAUUGAUGAAUAUGUGAUAUAAGCUAUUCAGUACGUAGCCAUUCCAAGGAUGCACUCAAACCUUUGGCUUUUCUCUGUCCCAAAGUGAUGAUAUAUUCAAUUUAAUUUUUAUAUAUUACUUAAAAUAUUCAUAAAUAUAUAUAUAUAUAUACUAACAUUAUGCUGUGGUCCUAGGAUCAUGCCAGGGUCUAUGAGACCCAUAUAAACGUACAUAGUCCCAAUCCUGUUGAUCAUUCUUAAACCGUCCGAUCAUCGAUCGGACGGAUGAUCGGACGGUUUAGACAGUGCUGGACUUUGUGCAGGCCAGUUGGAGUGCAUCAUGCCCCACCGUAUCCAAAAUGGUGGUGGCAUCUGGAAUUUACCACAAAAUGGCCCCCUCAAUCGCCGGCCGUCGGAUCGGCUUUGAUAUUUUGUGAAAUUCAUCAGGACCGUUCGAUCGGCUUUGCCCCGCAAUCUCCAGCAAAUUUUAGUGCUCCGACUCUAUGAUUGGCUUUUAAAUUAGUGGGUCUGAUUAGAUCUGCGGGUACACCGCAAUCGGACGGUUGGGAAUGCUCGAUGCGGUGUUUUAUUAGUGUGAAUAUUCAGCAAAAUUAAGGAGUUUUAAUUAGCUGGUCGGAUUCAGGUCAGAUUCAUAACGGAUUCAUUUUUAGAAUCUAAAAACCGAAUAAGCUAGUCAUAACUUGGAUCAAAAUUCGAUUCAAUUAAUUGCCUCUGAAAAUAUGUUUUAGAGAGUGCUAUUUGAAUAAGAAUUUUUUGAAAAGAUCUAAUAAAAUUUUUAGAGUGUUUGUAAUGAUUUUUUUUUUUUUACUAUAGCACAAAACAAAGGAGUAAAUUCCUAAUUUUGUGCCCACAAUAAAAUAUAUGGGUAAUUUUUACUGCAACUUGAGUCCUAUAUUUUUUACAUAUAUUCUUUAAUUUUUUUUUGUAACACAAUAUUCUUAAAUUGAAAUAAAGUGUCUCACUUUGUAAAUGAAUAAUUUUGUCCUGGGGAGAAUAAAGAGUUUGCUAUGAUAAUAACGAUUUACUGGACUUUUACAAAAAUACCCUCCAAAAUCAAAUCUAAAUUUGCAAAAAUUAAAAAAAAAAUAAAAGAGAAAUGCGGGGCGAAUGAAAGUGGGAGAAGCAAAGGCACCGUACAAAGGUAAAAAUGUAAAAUAUGAGAAGUGUUGACCCAAUCUCUUAAAAUGACCAAAUUAAAAUAAAAUAACCAAUGAUUUAGAGAGUUAAAUAUUUUUAGAUUCUAUAAAUGCUUUUAGAAUAUUUUCUAUAAACUCUACAAAUUCUAACUCAUUUCACAAAAGUGCUUGGAUGAGUUAAAAAAUUACACCGAAGCAUCAUUCUCUCUGGAAUUUUCUCAAUAAUUUGUAUGAUUUUUGUUCAUAGGUUCCAAUUUUGAGUUAAAAUGAUAGCGCACGGUGGUGAUAUUGUACUAAAAAUCGAAAUCCGAUAAAGUAAAGAUGUUUACAAGUUAAUUGGAUUGUAAAUGUCAUUAAUCAAUAGUUUGAAUAUAGUCUUUAUGAUGUUCCGUGAGUUCCCAUCAACGGUUAGACCGGUUAGUAGAUUCACAGUAAUUUCCUCAAAUACUUUGCGCUGUAAUUAAGCGUUAUUUCGAAUGACGGAGAUAUCAGUUGUAUCUUAGCUGUACGAUUGACGAUUAGUUAGACUUUCUUUACAUACCGUGAUAAUUUAUUUCAGAUUUUUUCGGUGCAAAUGAUCGGAGCGAAAUGUGCAAAAUCAGGCUUCGUACUCAGCAUCUCUCUUCUUUCUACUAUGUCAGGAAACUCCGCGGUCAUUUCUGCUGAGAAAUUAAUAAGUAUCAAAACCGCGUAAAAUAAACAGUGUCGUGAACCUUGACAUUUACUGAGAAAAUAAAUGUAUUACUUAUUUGAUUUGUCAAGAUACACAUUUACUGAUUCGCAUUUCUCAAAACUGUAAUUUGCAUUGGACAACAUUAUAACCUUAAGCUUAUGAUCUAAAUUAAAUAUUCAAAUUUACUAAUAAAAAAAAAUAAAUUAAAUUAAGUUACAUGGUUACUGGUCUAUUACAAAAUUUUGACGCGCAACUUAUUUAAAGUAAAAACGUAAUAACAUAGAAUAAAUUAUAAAUUUAAAAGUUUUUAAAUUUAAAUUGCCGGGCCAGGAAUGUAGGAUACGUCAUAGUUGAGAAAAUAAUAAUUUUCAUAAAUUUGUACCAAAUCAAAACUAUGUCACGUGACAGGCACAGUAGAGUACGGGGCGGCACGUGCCUGCGAUGCGGCUGUUCGUAGGAAGCGGAGAGGAUUUUUAUGUUUUUCCAUUUCAAAAGGGAAAAAAAAGAAACCAAAAACAGAGAUAACAAUAGGAGGGGGUAAAAUCGUCCGAGAGGAAACGGUCGCAUAAAAGGAAGGGAAAAAUUAAGCGCACCAAUUUUCCAAAAUUGGUUGUUUUGGGAUCCUAUAAAUGGGGACGCCUCGUUGUCGACAUCGUACGUAUACACAAACACUCUCUCUCUCUCUCUCUCUCUCUCUUUCUUUCGUAGCAUCAAUCAACAUUGUGUUCUUCCUUUAUCUCUUUCGUUCUCCUCUUCUUGUUCACUAUUAAGUUCGUACUAAUUGGGAGUUACGAGUAUCAGUACCGUAUCAAAAUCCCCAAACUCACCGGGCAAUAUUAUUGGUAUUUCUUCUUCUUCUUCUUCUUCUUUUUUUGCCACUAUUUAUUCAUUGUUAUCGAUUGUUGGUUUGGAUUUAAUUGUAGUAGUUAUAAACUGUAGAUUUGUUAUAUUUGUUUCUGUAGAGAGGAGGAGGAGCAGCAGCAGCAGCAGCAGCAGCAGCAGCAGCAGCAGCAGCAGAUGCGAGUAGAGGCGUGAGGGAAAAAAAUGAUGGAGAGCAGCAGGACGUUUCUGGUUCCGAUUCUGCGGACGGAGCACGUCGAAGUCACGACGAAGCCCGCCGUCGCUCACCGGCGGGGCCGGAGACCGGGCGCGAGGAAGAAAACGGCGGCGGCGGCGCAAACGGGGGCGGGGGCGGGGGAUCGGAAGUUCCGGGGGGUGCGGCGGAGGCCGUGGGGGAAGUACGCGGCGGAGAUCCGGGACCCGGCGCGCGGGGUGCGCGUGUGGCUCGGCACCUUCGACACCGCGGAGGAGGCCGCGAUGGUGUACGACUCCGCCGCGCUCCAGCUCCGCGGCCCCCGCGCGGCCACCAACUUCUCCUCCCCCGCCGCGGCGGCGGCGGCGCCGCCGCCGGAGAAGGCGCCGGCGCCGGAGAAGAAGGCCCAGGCGCCGCCCCAGGGCGGCGACCGCGGCCUCGCCCCUGCUGCUAAGUAAGUGGUGGUGGUGGUGGUGCUUUGCGAGGGUUUUGGGAGGAGAUCCUGUGUGGAUCUCUCUCCCCCCCUCUUUACCCUUAUCUCUUUCUAGGGUUUUUAACUUUAGAUGUUGCAAUUUUUCUGAUUUUUUUUUUCUUCUUUUUCUUUUUUCUUGGGUGGUGGGGAGAAGGUUUAGUUUGUAAUAAUUAGGCGGAUUUGUUUUCUUUUUUUUUUUUUUUAANAAAUCCUCCCCCCCAACCUUCUCCGCCGCCGCCGCCGCAAAAACAGGCCGACGAUAAUUUGCUGUUUACCGACUUCGCCGACUUCCCGCCGGUGGAGGAAGUCGACUUCCUCGACGUCGGCUUUUUCCCGCAGAGGAGCGCCUUCGGGGAGCUCGAGCAGAUCGGAUUCCUCGCCGAGGAAUUCGACCGCUCGUUGUUCGACACUCGCCGCGAUUUGGUCUCGUCGACCUGCGACGCCGACGACUAUUUUCAGGGCAUCGACGAUUUAUUCCCGAUUUCGCCGCUUUUCACUGUUUGAGGAAAAGAGAUUAAUUAUUGCGUGGAACCUGUUUUAUAUAGACCUCAGUAGUAAUCUCUAAUAAGUCUCAAAUAUAGAAAAAAAUUAUAUUAGUUUGAAAAAUCUUUGUACUUAGAUAUGAAAAUUUAUUAUUUAUAUAUAAGUCGUUUAUUAGAUUUUUGUUGUCUAGCUUUUAAGUCGCGUAGGUUAAUUUGAGAUUUCAUAGAUACUGUGGUCUAUAAAUCCGGUCCACGGAAUAAUUUCUGUAUUUAGUUCUAAAUAGGUUGAGAUGUUGUUGCGGGAAAAUAUCAUGUGGCGUUUCGUCCUUGGUAACGCCGAUUAAUCGGCUCGGCGAUUUUGUAAUCUAAGGAGGUGAAAUGCGAGUGUUUUUUUUUUUUUUUAGCCCCAUUUUAAUUCUGUUUGUUAGUUUUCUUUUUCUAAAAAAAAAUUUGCUUUUGCGUUUAAAUACAUGUAUCGAUCCUUCUAAUUUUCUAGGGUUUCUUUUGAUCAAAAUAAUUUUCGUACUUUGAAAAUAAAAAAACUAAUGCUACAAAUAAUAAAACAAUAUCCACUACUAAAAAAAUCUUGGGCAACACUGCUCCUUGGAAAAAGAUGUUUUAAACUACUUUCACACGUGUAAGUCGUUCUCAGGGAGCAUGAACUGCGCAGUGGCCAGAUUCCGACACGUGUCAAAAGCUCACAUGAUUUGUUGGUGACUUGUAGGUGGCCCUCUUUGGUGCUUUUGGUUGCCACGAGCGGUGACUUGCUUCUUAAUUUGUGGAAAAAAUAAUUAUCCCACCCAGUUUAUAAUUCAGAGUUACUCUUAUAAGUACAAUUAUUUUUAGGUUUAGUUUCGUGUCGAGGUCUAAUAUAUAGGGAUGUAUUUCUGCGUUCUUCGGCGGGACCAUAAAGAAUAUAUCAUAAUCAACUAAUCGCGAUAUGCGAAAUGCAAUAUUAUAUACGAAAAUAAAUAUAGUAUUUUUAUAUGGUACUUUCUUAUCGUACGUGACACAAUCUUCCCGCAAUCUCAAACAAAGCUUUAGAGUUUGUCUGAUGGUUGCUAUACUAUCGGUAAUACAGAGACCACCAUACUAUUAACUUAUUUUUAAUGAUACAAUCUUUAAAUUAACGAUUAGUUCUAUUAGGUUUGAUUUACACUAUCUAAAAAUAUUUAGAAACUAAAUUUUAUAAUUUUUUGACAUCAUUUACCUAUCAAACAAAUAAUCUAAAAAUAAAAAGAUCAAAAUAAAAUUUUAUAAAAAAUAAUGAUAAAAAUUUGAAUUUAAGAUCAAAGGUGAAAAGAAUUUUUAAUAACAAUUUCAUCAUAUUUGAAUUGUUUUACACCGUUAAAUUCACAAAUACAUCACAUCGAUCAAUAAAAUUAUCAAUUUUGAGGCAUUUUGAUCACUAGCUAAAUAAUCUUGAAAAAUUAUAAAAUUUAGUUUUCAAAUAUUUUCAAUAGUGUAGAUCAAGUUUAACGGAGUCUAUCGUCGAUUUGGAAGCCGUAUCACAAAAAACAACUCGUAUAGCAGCCUACUUCUUAUUUUUAUAUCUAUAAAUUAUUUUUAAUAUAAUAGUGAUCAAAUCGAUGACCGAGUUUAUUAAAUAUAAUUUAGAGUAUUUAAAUAUUUUAAAAUUAAAUUUUAUUAUUUUUUGACAUUAUAUACUUUAUGGUCGAGGGUCUCAAAAUUGGUAUUAUUAACAGUCGGUAUACAGCAUUUCCAACUUAAUGGUCUAGCAGAAUUGUAAUUAAUUAAAUUUUAAAUCAAAAAUUCUAUUCACUAUAUAGAUCGAGAUCAAUAAUUUUGAUAUUGAAUUUAAAAAUUCUAUCUCUUAUUCAUAAGAGACUGUUCAAUUUUGACGAUUCAUUUAAUAUUUACUUGAUGGACUUUAUUGUAUAUUUGAAAAAUUCUAAAUUCUGAUUUCUAGAUAUGUCGGAUGUUUAAGAUUAUACUUAACGUUAUAAAUCAUCAAUUCAAAAACUCUAUCAUCGAUAGAAACUUAUGAGUACGAAAAUUUUUAUACAUAUAAUUAAGAGUAUAGUAGCUCUACUCUUACAAUCCAAUUAUUUGGUUGUGUUUUCUUUUGCCUCUAAUAUAUACAACGCAGUUAAAUACUGCAAAAAAAAACUCGAUACUUAACACGACAAUGCGAUUUAAAUAGGAAAACUUUAAAUUAGAAUAAACUUUUACGAUUCAGAUACAGAGUGAACUACGCGACUUACUAAACUAUUUCAAUAAAAUCUCAUUGAGGAGCUUCUCAAUAAAAUUGCAUACGCUCCGUGCCAACACAGUGCUUUGUUGGAUUGAAUUUGAUACUCUAGGGUUUAGAAAAGUGCCCAUUAGGCACCAAGAAAUUUACUUAAUUAAAGGGAUUGAUUUGGAUUCUUAUUUUUUUUUCCCCUUUUAUUUUUUGGGAAAUUGUGUCAAACAAAAGAGGGAAUUUUGGGACGUGCACUGCAAAAUGUCCCUUUUUAGAGGACUUUAUUGAGUAGUUUACUAAUGCGCCCAUAAAAUCUUAUCUUCUGAUUGCGAAAUUAAUAACUCCACAAAUCUCUCCAAAAGUGGUUAAGCUCAAUGAAUCAUCUUUAACAUAAUUAGUAGGAGUUUCUCUUUUAUUUAAUACGAAAAGCAAAUCAUUUAGUGGACACGUGUUAACAAUUACGCUAAUGGAUUCAACCUGUUCUUCUUGUUGAUUUUGAUAUAUUAACUUAAUUUAAUUUAUAUAUGCAUGGGGUUAGUUAGUUAAUUAGGGUAUGAUCAAAUUAUGGCCCAGCAGUUUUUGUCGCAAUGUAUCUCUUUUGUCCUUUUGAUCGAUCUCAAGUACUAUUAAAGGAUAAUAAGAGAAAAAAAUCAAUUUUUGUUCAAAUUUUGGUAGUUGUAUAUAGCUGUUAAAAAUAAAACUUUAAUUUAGGAGCUUAAGCUAUAUGAAUUGAUUGGUAGAAUAAAAAAGUCGAAAUAUGCCAAAUUAUUGGUUUUCAUAUUGUGUAGAAGUUUCAGAUAAGAAGAUUCUGAGUUAGGAGCGCCGAGACAAAUUUCUAUUUAUCUUAUAAACAAAAAGAAAAACAAAAAAAAAAAGAAAAGCUUGAGGUAACAAUGUAAAAAGUACCUUUGGACAUGAAUUAACAACACCUACGAUAAAUAGUAGAAAACAUCCCUUGUGUACUGGGAGAGCAUAUUAGGCUCCUGUCUCACUCAAGAACACAUGAAUAAAUGAGUCCAAACAUGGGAAGGUCACAAAAAUGGAAUAAAAGUUUCAUGUUUUGCUCAAAUUAUUCUACUGACCUAGUUAAUUAUAAUAGGUCCUUUUCUUUUUUUAUUUUUUGCUUUUUUUAGAUAAAGGCUUAUAACAGUUUUUUAUUUUGUGAGAUAUUUACGUAUGCACGCUAACAUAUAAUCUGCAAAAACUCAUGAUAGGCUAAAUGAGUUUCUAUAUUUUAGAAAUAAGUAUUAUUAUAAAGGUUUUAGUUCACAAUUGAAAUUGAGUAGAUUGAUACCAGUAUUUAUGUGAUGUCCAAAAAAAUUAUGUAAAUACAGAUGCACAAAUCUGGUGAUGUGUGGACAAAAAAGAUGAGGAAUAGAGUGUUCAACAGGGCCAAAGGAGCAUCUUUCCACCACCUAAAUGCAAGUUAAUAAAGGUGGUCUCUUUAAUUUUACUUUUUUGGACUCUUGUAGCUCAUUGCUUGCCCUAAGAAAGAAUAUGUAUGGACUAAUCUGAGUUGUAAUCUUUAGCUUCCCACUCUAACAGUACUUGAUGACUCAUCAUUUCUCUAUAAUAUUUGUACUUGAACACACUUCCUACUGGUCAAGAGCCCACCUAGUCACAGAAUCUAGACUACCCCUUAGGCUGAGUUGUAAUCUUUGAAACACUCUUUCUAUUGGUUAAGAGACAAACACCUACAUUUAGAAUCUUCAAACCUCAUGCCUUAGAGAGGAGAAAAAGCUUUUUAGGGUUUUUUUUUUUUUUUUUUCUUAAUGGCUUAUUAGGAAACUAAAUUGAUUCCUAUCCCUGUCUCUAUCAAGGUAAAAGGGUUUUUUACAUUUUAAAAAAAAAAAAAACCCUACAAAAUUAGCCAUUAAAUAUAUGAUAUUCUGUGUAAGUUCAAAUUGUCUUGUCUCUAUGGUAUUCAAGCUCUUCAAGAUUUAUUAAUUUUACAUAAUCCCUGCAGAAAGAACUGUUUUCAAAUAAAUAUUUUUCGGAUAACAAAAAUUAACAUGUAUGUCGUUUAAAAUUUAGCUCCAUAAACAUGCUCUUGUAUUAAAUAGGAAAAUCCAGUUCAUAAAAGGGCAGUGGUUUUGACCCACUCUUUCAUGAAUGGACAUUUACACAAAAACCAUCCUUUUCGAAAAGCAUACACAAAAAAUUGGUUUUGCAGGGCUAUGUUUGAGAAACUGAGAAUUUUUUUAUGGGGAUAUCUAUGUAAUUGUAUAGGAAAAGGAAAAGAUGAGUGAUAGGAUUCCUUAACAUUUUUUUUUGUUAACGUUUUCUUGGAUUUAUCACCUAUUUUUAUCUGCAAUCAAAGUGAUCAUAUAUGUAUAGGACCACUACAUGUAGAUUGUAGAGUCAAAAGUGUAGGCCCAACAUUCCAAAAAGGGUGAUGUCCUAAUUGCCGGAGAGAAAGAGACUUAUCAUGAGCAAUUAAGCAUCUCAUAUGAUAAUAUCAUGGUAAGGUGAAGGUUUCAAAUCUUGGCUGAAAAGUUUGGGCACAUUCUUUUGCAAGUUGCUCUCUCGCACGCGCGCGCGCGAUAGGAUGUGGUAGGUAUUUCAGAAUGUAUCUCAAAGUACAAUAGAUUAGUCAACUUAUGCAACAUCAGUCGCAGUCUAGCGAUUUAGGAUCUCGGAUUUAGGACUUGUUUGGCCUAACUUACGCAACCAAUGUAGCAUCAAACAUUAUUAUGCUAACAAAGUAGCCUUUAGAGAAAAGGCAUCGUUUCAACUCCCAAUGGGAAAGCUCAUUUUAUGCUUUUGCACAAAGCAAACUUCUCUACAUUGCUUGCCUUUUCUAACCAAAAGAAUCGAUUAGACCUGCUCCACACGUACUCAGUGUGCACGCCUAAGUCAUCUUUUAUAGAUUGUUUGACCAAAAGAGAACUUUGGAUCUGUAACAAGCGCAAAAGCUCAAUCUUAAAAUUUUUACUUUUGUUGUUGAACAAUAAUUAAGAAUAUUUCAGUAAAAAGAAAAGUUAUUACUACUUAUUUUAAUAGCACAACUCAACAAGAUUUCAUCGAGUAGACUAUACCUUAUAUAUAGUAACUAAAUUCGCAUUCGAUUAAACAUGUUCUACAGGCCGGGCCAAGAAAAAGACUUAGUUUGGACCCAGACACAGGACUGUUGUGUUAGACAAAAAUUAACUACCCCAACCAUAUGAUGAUGCAUGCUACAAAUUCGCUAUGUCUAGUGAAACAACAUAAUAAUCGAAUGUUUAAAUAAUUGAAAAGGAAAAAUACAACAGCAUGCCUAAACAUGGAAGCACCACAUCAUUUCAUCAGAUCGAGGAAGACGAAGCCGUUCCACAAGCUAUGGAGGAGCAUGCUCGCGAGGAGGUUCCUCGACCGCGCAAACACGGCGCCCAUCACCACCCCGAGGAACACGAGCGGCAGCAGCCUCUGCGAGUUGAAGUGCGCCAGGGCGAACGCCGCCGCGCUCACGACGAUCGACCAAUUCAGCGGCAUGUACCGCGUCAGCGAGGGCAGGAGGAACCCCCGGAACACGAUCUCCUCCCACACCGGCGCGCAGACCGAGACCACCACAGCGUACAGAGCCAUCGCCACGGGGUCGCGGGCCACAAUUGAUUGCUCCACGCUCGAGACACCGACGGGCAGGCCCGGGAGGUUGGGCACCAUGCUGAUGUUGAUGUGAGAGAGCAGGUUGACGAGCGGGAACAGGAGGCAGCCAAAGAGGACGUCAAAGUGCCAGGAGCCACGGAGUUUGAAGGAAAACCAGCCAGGGGGGAGGGGGCGGAAGGGAGCAAGGCAGCGAUGGAGGAUUGCAAUUCCUGCAAGGCCCUCGGCGAUGUCGGUGAGGAGGCUGUAGAGGGCUUGUCCCCGGUGGGUUAGGGUAUCCUUGCUGAAGCCAGCAGCAUGGGCCAGGAAUGGGAUUAUCCACGAUCCUACGAACCAGAAAGUUGCUAUCCAUAGAAGCAUAACCUGGAAAGACAAGUUUAAUGCCGUAGAGUUAAAACUUUCACCAACGUACUCUUCAAAAAAAGGAACUAGAAUUGGCAUGGAUGAAGCUUCUGCUCAAGUACAGUUCUGAGAAGAGUUGUUUAUAGAAGCAGUUACAGCUUCCACAUUUAAACUCCCUCUACCACAGAAGCAGGACCUCUGACUUGCUACUGCCAUUGUCAACCAAAAGUUCAUUUGAGCUUUUUGCCCAGAGAAAUGGACGAGUUUUUAACGUAUUCAUUAUAAGGAUCAACUAUAAUAUUUUCAUAAAAAAAAUUUUUAAGAAAUAAUGAUUAAGGAUUUUUCAGUUUUUCACAAAAUGUGACCCUCAAAUUAAUUAAAUCCUAAAUUGCUUUAGUAAACAUCUAAAUUAGAAAGUAAUUAUGUUAGUUAUGUUAUUGAAAAACAAUUCUGUUUGCCACAGCACGGCAUGUCUCCUUUAGAGCUUAAUAGUGUUUCUAUAUACACCUACGGGCACAAAAUGGGAGAUAUGUUCAGCUUGUGUAUACUGUGUGAUCUUCAACUACUUAACUACCUAAACAAAAAAUGCCACUAGUAACUCAUUAGGGGAUGCACAGUGCUAAUUUAGGCGAGUUAUUAUGCUGUUAUAAAUAUUGAAUGUAUUUAGUGAAUGACUGAAAUAUUUCACUUUCUUGCCUCUCUCCUCCUCACUUCCUCUACUCCCUUGAACAUUUGCAUAUAUAGAAAUUCACGAGUAAACGUUCUCAACAGCAGAGAAAAGAAUUAGUACAAGGCUUCUUCCUCAAUAUUAUGCAACCUAACUACGACAAAGUCAUUGUUGUUUCGCAUCGAUAAGUACUCCUAUGCAAAAACCAAACCAAAUGAAAAAUGCACAACCUCACUAACUUAUCUAAAGUUAACAAAUCAACAUGCGGAAAAAGAUAUAGUUGUAUUAAAGAACAUCAUUCCUAAAAAACCCUGAUGCAAUUGUGUAAAUAUUGGCAUUUAUACAGUUAUAUACCUUGAGCUGAAAGAGGAGACAGAAAUUCAGUUCACCCACUACAGGAAAAGGUUUUAUACAGUUUACAAUACAAAAUGUUACGUCACUCGGGGGAGGGGUUCUUUUUUUUUUUUUGGAGUUGUUUUUAUUCUCCCUCCUCCUCAAGUGCAGUCAAGUUAUAUAAGUCAAACCAUGUGAUGGUAGCAUGUAGAAAUCCCAAAGUAAAAGACUUUCCAAACUUUACACCCAAAUAAGAAGACCUUUACAAAUCAACUAUCAGCAACUGAAUGUUAAAUCCGCUGAAUUCCUGUUAUUAGAAAGCAUAGUACAUUACACAUGAAAUUAAAAUCCAAGAGUACCAACCUUAAUGAUGGUUUCAGCCGUCCAUGGUACUGUCCAAGGAUCACCGUGAAAGAUAAAGAUUCUGUUCGCUACCUAGAAAAUAAAACAAUAGUCAAGAGACCAUCUAACAUACUAGCCAAUCACAAAACUAUAAAAUAAGUAAUGCCUAUCAAGCCAGCGAACAUAUGAAAUCAGAAAAGAUAUAGAACAAAUUGAAUCUGUCACAGAGAAAAAGUAGAAGAGCAAGCUACUUUAGCAGUAGGUAAAUCCAACAUCUAGGACUUAGAAAGAGCAAGCUACUUUAGCAGAAUGAAUAAUCCAGCACAACAAUUUACUUCUCUGGCAUAUACUUUUUCAAACAAGGAGUGACAUCACUGAUUCACUAUCUUGACUCUCACACAUAGCAAAAUUUAGAACUCAUUUAGACCACAAAAGAUAUUUAUAAAAAAGUGCACCUUUAUCAUCGAUGUAGAACUAAAGAAUGAUUUUUUUUUUCUUUUUCAUAAGAGAUUCACAGUGCACCUUACAAGCAAAUGACCAUCCUCUCUGCAAAUAGUAUCAAUGGAUACCUUUUGACUCGUACAAGGACACUUCUAGUCUCUCAGGAUAGAAUACAAAUCAACCGUAUAUGAACAUAUUGGAUCCAAAUAGAAUCAUCUGAUGUUUUAAUAUAACCAUAUCAAAUCUAGUUAGGAUGAUAUAAAAUACAAAAAAUUUCAUAUUAAAUCCAGAUAAUCAUGUCUUCAACAUUUAUAUGAUAUAUUAGGGCAUCAAAUUGCACCCUAUAUUUUUUUCUAUAUUCUACUUCGAUUUUUUAACAUGUCGCAGUUGAAUCACUUUUUUCACAAGCUUUUCUAAUGUCUUACAAUAGGAAAUAAGCAAAUCAAAUAUAAUCAAAUCCAAUCUGAAUAGAAUAUAUCAGACAACAGGGGACCGAAGGUUACAUCUAACAAUCAGGCGUAGAUCAAACAUCAUUAGGAAAUUACAGAAAGAAGCAAUUAACUGCUACAAUAUGCAAAUCAGAUAAAACCUUUUGAAUGCUCGAAAGCCAAUGUUUGCCAUUUGCUUUCAACUCGUCGGACUCAGCUUUCCUUAAACCCUCAUUCUUUUGAACUUCAACAUGCUCGAAUGCAUUACAGUGAGACGUUGACUCUUCUUCAUGCUUAAAACACGAGAUAUGAUCCAGCCUCCAUUUCUGCACAACCAUGUAAGGGGAAAAAGUUGCAGCUAAUCAUCAAAUUAAACGGAAGAAUUAAUUCCAAACAGCUUCUAAAGAAAUGAAAGAUCAUGUCAAUGUGUUUAUUUACCAAAUCUCCUUCCAAUUAUAUAACAGAGAAAGAUGACAUAACUAUUUUUAGAAGGGGUAUUAUGGGGUUUUAUGGGGUUUUUUGAUAGAGUAUCACUAAUAGAAAAUGAAGUCUCACCAAAUACAACCUAUUUAUGAUACUUAAUCGUAUUAUGAGAAACAUCACCAAAUCCUUCCAAAUCAAUUGAAAUCUCAUUAACUAAUGAUGCGGACAACACAUUUAGGAAAACUCGAACUCAAACUCGAACCCAGGACUUAAGGCAGCCAAAACAGGGUGUAUUCCUUUAGACUUUGUACGAAAUGAAAUCUGAAUAGAUUUCACAAGAGAUAUAAGAAAAGAAAUUUGCCUAUUUGGAGUAAGUAUAGUUAAAUUAACAUUCAAUACUGUCAUUUGAGAUGAAAUGGCAAAUCAUUUCAAUAUGUCUGCAUUACAAAAUGUAACCUUUAGGUAAAUAGUAAGUAACCUACUUACAGGUUCGAAAAAAAAUAGAAGCAAUUUUUGUGACUAUGGUAUGGAUAUAUUAUAACUACGAGAAACUGAACUCUCACAAAAUCCGACAUCAAAUCAUGGGAUUUGAUUGUAGUAAUGAGAAAUCCCACUGACCCUUCCAAGUCGCUCCAAACCCCAUCAACUAAAACCCUAACUCCCAGCAAUUCUACGAUUUGAGGCAACCGCAAAUCUCAGAAAAAAGGAAGCGAAUCCGACCUUGAAGGAAGCUCUGCGGCCCGCGCCGCCGCCGAAGGAGAGCGAGGAGGGCGGGAGAGAGGGACCUCUCGCAGAGGAAACCCUAAACCUGGAGGAGAGGCGGGGGCGAGGGUUCAAGGAAGGGGAUUGGGCGAGGCAGCGGCAGGAACCGGACAUGGGGCCUCCGAAACCCUAGAGAGGUCCCCGCAUGCGAAACCCUAAUCCGCCAUUAGCGGGCCUACCGAGCCAUGAUACCUCUACUAUUUGUUGGUGGUGAUGAUGUGCUUAGGGUAUCAAGCAUAGAGCGAUGAGACCCGACACUGCUCUUCCUCUCCCUCCUCGUCCCAUCGAGAAGAGAAUAUAAACACGGGAAGAGAGAGAGAGAGAGAGAGAGAGAGAAUAGAGAGAGAGAGGUGGUCAAAAACAAUACUGAAACACGAGGUUGAGAAGUGAGAACCCAAAUCGAAUGGAUAGGUAUUAGUACAACUUGGCAAAAUGACUAUUCUUUUUAAAUUAAAAAUUAAUAACAAUAAUAAUAACAAUAAUAAUAACAAUAUCUAAGUGAAAAAACUUUUAUCUUGCACUAAAAAGUAUGGAAGUAAAUUGUUUUUCAUGUUGUUUAUAAUGGUUAACUGAGUUUGGUUGGACGCACAUUUAAACGUGUAGAAAUUCUUGCUAUUAAAAUGUUGUAGGGACUAGGGAGAAGUAUUUUUAAUUAGUUUAUCAACAAAUAUUCCCAAAAAAAAACCUAUUAUGGAGGACCAAAAUAUUAACCAUGGCAAAUAAUAAUUUUGACCAUAAAAAAAAACUGAGACAUUUCUUUUUAAGGGAAACAGGCUUUUGAAUCCGAUGGUAGGAUUUUUAACUUACUAUAAGAAGAAGGGGUAAAGUGCACUUUUUUGUUUUGUUUUGUUUUUUUUUUUUUUUUUUUCGUUCACUGCUGUUCAGGGAUCUGCUCUCAACUAACAAUGGUUUCUAUGGCACCAACAGGGGACCCAUCUCUUAUCUACUCCUGUUAAUCCACGUGAAACAUGGAUUUUUUUUUUUUUUGCCUUUUUUCUGCCACGUUCUUCAGGUUCAUCUACUUCAUGUUUAUUUCACGAAAUCGAUGAAAUUGUUACAUUUUACCUUAUAUUUCACGAGUUUUCCAUCUUACGUUUCCCUGAAACAUCAAACUUGUUUUCCACUCCAACUUUUAUGUGGGACUAAUACAAUAUUAGAGGAAUUGAAAAGAAGAUAGAAAUAAAAGAUUCUUGAAGCUCAAUAUAACAUUUAGGCAAGGAAAUUCAUGAGCUCUUAUUCUAUUUGCUUAGAAUAUCAAUUACAAUUAUGGGUAACAAAGGUGGUUACAAUUAUUUCCUCACGAAAACGCAAAGAUAAAGUUACAAACUCCUUUCAUGUCGACAACUCAGGAGACGCAAUAUUAAGCUAAAAGAAACAAAAUACUUAGGUGCCUCCUGUUCCAAUCUAAGCAUGACUCAGUAAGUUGUUAAGUUAAAAAAUUUAAAAUAAAAAUAUAACCUAAACUCCAAUCUGCUACAUGGUAAGUACAAUGAGGUUAUUCGCAUCCAACAAUAACUCAAACAGCUUAUUUAAAAUGUUCCUUUUCAAGGUAUGAAUUCAAAUAUUUUGAUAUAAUAGUUUCAUUCCAUGUACAGCUUUUGAUGGAACAGGAAGGGUACAGGUUGUUUGGCUGGGCCUUUAUGCAGAGCUGUUGUUGGAAUAGAUACACCAGCAGAUGGAUUUAUUUAUUCUUGUCUUGCUCAGCUUAUGAUGUUGCUCACCAGAUAGAAACAACGUCAGAUUUAUUUAUUCUUGUCUUGCUCAGCUUAUGAUGUGGCUCACCAGAUAGAAACAACAUCUUCUUUGAAAAAACAAAGCAGUGAGUUAGAAGCUUUAAAUUGGAGCUGCUUCUGUAGAUCAGAAGCAAUUUCAAAUCCGGCUGCAAAAGCUUCUGCAUUUUAAUGUCAAGCACCAUGCCACUGCUUCUAAGAGUAGAGAAGCAACUUCAGAAUUCAGGAAAAAUAAGCACUACGCAUAAACUCUCCAAACUUUUGCAAGAGUGAUUUUCAUGUCGCAAACUUCAAAUAUGCCGCAACCAUCUCCCUGUACAUAUGCAAGCAAAAUGCUUGCUUCUAAAUAUUGAACCCGAUGUCAUGCUUCAAUCCAGCUUCAAAGAUUACCAUGUUAAAAGUAUAUUCAUGUGUCAUUUCCUAUCUGAUCAAUCUUUUAAGGAACACAAUAUGAGAGGCAACUCCUAGUGGUAUGAAUUCAUGGGUUCAGUCCACACUUGGCACGUUUAAUGAGCUAAAUCUCCACAUUAAAAUCCAAAGGUUAAAUCUCCAUGCAUUACUUCGCUUGUCAAACUGAAGUGCCCUCCAUAUCUCAAUGCACAUGCAUUCUUAGGCCAUUUCCUGUCAGAUCUAUCUUUCACAUAUCAAUAACUAAGAAGCUGGUUAGCUUCCUUGCUGCAAUAGUUUACAGAAUGAUGGUCGAAGAUCCUGAAUUCUUGAACUCAAUGAAACUGAACGUAUCUCUUUACUCUUCCACUGUCCAACUUAAUCCUUGCAACUCUUCUGCAAGAACCAGUACAUCUACAGAUUGCUUUGCUCCGAUCUCCAAAACUAUGUUUACAACUGCAACCGGCUGGCAAAUAUGUUCUUUAUUGAAACGCAACGGCAUUGGGAAGGCAUUUCAAUAAUUCACUUUUUGGCUUAUGAUAAAUCUUCAUAAGAUGAACUCAAAUCAGAAAAGGAUUGGUUUCUGCAAAAACAAUCCACUAUUUUCUUUCUCGUUAUUUGGAACUUUGGGCCAAUCUCUCUUUGCAUGGACUCGGAUGCCCCUGGACAACAUAAGUUGAUUUUACGCACUACAUCCAUCUGUCAGGGCAGUUUGAUCCAUGAGAUCAUAUUUUCGAAUAAUAAUGAAAAAUCGACGAAGUGAACAGAAAGUCCGAAAUCUAAAGCAGCAGGACAGUUUUCACGAAUUAUAAUGCCUAAACCAUACCUUAAAUAUAAACGUAUCGAUAGCCCCCUGGAGCUUGCUUGACUUGGAGCAUUUCUCAAAACCUGAAAUUUCAGUUUUUUUUUUCCAUACAAACAUCAGCUAUGAUCAAACACUGAGAAGAAAAGAUCUGGGAAAUGGAAAUUUUGUCAAAGCACACAAAGAUAUCACCUGCAAACCAGGUAGAUUUCAUGACCGCUUACUAUUUCAUAACACUGGCUGCAAUGGCUCAAGAGAACCCCAUGUUUUCCCAACCUUCAAUUUGACUCGCAAAGGAACUGGAACAAAAAGACAAUUCUGGAUAAAAUUGCAUUUAUUCUUGAUAGUUAAAUAAAAUGCCAUUUACAGUAGUUUCAAAUGGUACCUAAAAGUGAAGCAGCACCCUCCAUGCUCAUUUGUAGCAACUUUCCAGCCUCGGCUACAACACAUGGAUCAGCUUCUAGCACUAGUUCAUCAUGUACCUAAACCAACUCAUAAGAAUAAACAUGUCAUAAACCGGCUAGUUCGGCUGUUACAACCAGAGUUCGGGAAUUUACAUACACAUGUAUACCUGCAAAAUUGGGCAUUCACAUAUAUAGAUAUAUAUAUACCCAUAUAAAAAUUGGAUAUCCAUAUAUACCCUUGAAAGAGCAGUUUCUUUCGACAAUGCACUUAAGUUGGGGAGUCAUCCAAUACAAGAGGAAAGCUAUUUUUUGUAGUGGGAAAUGUACUUGUAAAGAAUGACAAUUGUGCAAGUACAAGGGUGGAAAAAGUUUUUGAAGGGCAUUAAUGAAAAUUAUUGAUUUUGCAGGAACAUAUACAUUAAGGUAAUCUUACACAGGCAUAUUUCUAAAUAUAUAUGAAGUAGAAGUUCUUUAAAUCCAGAUGAUUACAACCUGCAAACUAAUACGGCAACAGCCUCUAACUUGAGAAAAUUUUCCUGCCAGGUCAUUAUUCAAAUUAACCAUCUGACUUCCACCAACUAUAAAGGAGUGAAUAUUAAUCAUAGCGAUCUUGAUUAAGUCAGCAGCAGAGCCCUGUAACACAAUCAUGUAAAAUCUUUACAUCUGUGGAUAUAACAAUUUGAGGCAAAAGAAGAAGAAGAAGAAGAAGCGCGUUCAUUGCCUGGCAAAUAGAAUUAACAGCCUGUCUCUGAGCUUUGGCCUUUUCUUUCCUAUUUCCAAACUUAAUUUUUGAUAGGAAACGUUUUCGGCCCAUCAAGGUUUCCACGUAUCUGUACAUUCAAGAAAAUCGAUAGUUACUCAGAGUAUCAGAUCCAUUAAUUAUCAGUUCGAAAACUUAAGUUGAGCUCGAAACAUUAAGUUGAGCGAUUUACAACUACAUUGUCUGAUUUAAAUUUUACUGUAAAUUUAAUUUUGCAUCCUUUGCACGACAAGAUUGCAUCAAAAGGUAUCAUGCAUAAAGUUCAAUGUAAUAUACUAAUAUUACUACCCAAGAGUAGCCCAUCAGGUUCCUCUUGCAUAACUCUUACUUCCUUCGUAAUUAUGUAUCUGUAUAUAGAAUAUUGAAAAAAAAAUUUGCCUAUGGGGCAUAUAUGACCCCUUCAAAAAGAAAAAAAAAAAAGAGAAAAACACAAAGCAAGUGAUGAAUCCUAGAUUCACAAAAAAGAAGUAAAGAUAAACCAACCCUUUCUUGCGACAAGAUGCGACAGCUUCGUGAAGCCAAGAGGAAACACCAGGGAAUGAAGCUUUGAAGCUCUUAAUUUUUUCUGCAGCCUCCUCUGAGCUGCAAUUCAGCUGUUCUGCAAGGGAAUUGGCACCCAUCCCAUAGAGGAUGCCAUAAAUCAACCUUUUUGUGUUCUCUCUCUCCUUAGAGCUGAUCACAGACUCCACUUUAUUAGUCCAUCUUGCCGCUAUCAUGGUAAAAACAUCACCAUCUGGCUUACUUAGAAGUUCAAUCAAGGCAGAGUCUUUAGAGAAGUGAGCCAUUAAACGUAGUUCUAUCUGAGAGUAAUCAGCUGUUAUCAACAACCAGUUGUCCUGCCAUGCAAUUAUAGGAUGUAAUGCAUGAUUUCUUGCAAAAAAUUGAUACCAAAAAUAGAUAGAUGUUUAUGUAUAUAUUUAUAUCCCAGCAAAACAAUAUAUUAACAUAUAUAUCCAUGAAAAAUCUGUGGCCUCAUUAGGCAUCAUAGCUUUUUUCUUUUAUUCUUUUAAACACUAAUUCUAUAUAGUGAUAUACCACCACCAGGAUUUUUCUCUCAAUGUCAAAACUGGUUUAGCUUACAACACACCAAACAAGUAUGUAAGACAACUUAAAAAAAAAAAAGAAAUCGGAAGCAAAAAAAGGUUUUGCUUUUUGUUGCCAAACAAACAGCUUGGAUGUAAAGAUUGCGAGCAAUUUACUAUUCCCUCAUACACAGUUUCAUGUAGAAAUUUUACUUAUUAAAAACGAAAAAAAGGGGCAACAAUGCCAAACGAGGCCUAAAAGAUUUAUGUUCUUCCACAUAUAACCUUAAAACAAUACCCCAGGUUAAAGAACUUCCAACAGUUUACCAACUUAAAGAUAAGGGUGUUUUGCAAGAAAAUGCACCUUCCAGGAGUAAAUAUGAAAAUUCAGACUUCAGAGGGAUAAAAAAAAACUUAUGUUCUUCCACAUGUAACCUUAAAACAAUACCCCAAUUUAAAGAACUUCCAACAGUUAACCAACUUAAAGAUAAGGGUGUUUUGCAAGAAAAUGCACCUUCCAGGAGUAAAUAUGAAAAUUCAGACAUAAGAGGGAUAUAUAUUAACAUAUAGAUGAUUUUGCAGGAAUAUAUAUGCAAAAGCUUGAAAGUAUAAUAUAGUUUUAAAGGAAAAAAUUACUUGGGUCGGAAUGAAGAAAUCUCGUGCAUUUAUUCGAUGAUGAUCAGCAUCCAACGAGCUUGAGCUGUCUUUGUCGGUAUGAUUAAUAGUGAAAGCUAUUGCAUGUUCCACACACUAUAAAACCAAAAUAAACAAAGAACAGUCAAUUAUUAAUGCAAUAAUUCAUAAUGAGCAUAUUGUAAAUAGCAAGAGCCAAGAGGAGAAACAAAAGAACCUGAAGGUUGGGCUCCUCCAUUGAAAGGCGACCUGUAGCAGUUGAGGUCUGAAGCCAAUGGCCUCGUAUUAUAUACUUUUGGGAUUUCACACAUAAACGAGCACGUGAGGAAAUUGAUCCCAAAGUGCAAUUUAAGAGCUUUGCGAGUGUUCUGUGUUCUUUAAUCACCGCAACUAUAGGAUGUUGACCUCUAAAUAAAAUUAAAAAAGGAAAGGAUAAACAUUUUAAAAAAAAUAUCAUAUAGUGGGACAGAAUGAGGAUAUAAGUAUAUAACUAUAACAUCCAACUCAGAAGGUACAAUAAUAGUUCUCUACUCUCUUUUUCUCCACUUUUUGAUGCUUCAGCAAUUAUUGCUCAGAAAAGUUAUAUGAAGAAAUAAUUUUUGUACUGAUUUGUUACCAUAUGGAUCAUCUGCAUUGCAAGGAUCACACAACUUGAAAGAUGAAUAGACCAAAAAUAUAGAAGGUUUACUUCUGAAAAAGAAUAGAAAGUAUUAAUUACUAAAUAAACAACUAUAUUUUUUUUCUUGCAAUAUUACUUGAAAGCUUGGCAUCCUAAUUCUUCUAUUCCAAUGUCCUAAUAAAUUUUGUAGGCUUUUUGCAAUGUAUCUCACAUAACUACUCCAGGUUAAAUAUGUUCAAUUUAUCUUACAUCACCCACAGAUGCACCUGCAUAUACAUCUGUGGGAUGUUGAAUGCCCUAAUACCACUUCCACCAUGAGAAUGUUAUGAACAAAAUAUAUCACCAAAUUAACUAAACAAAGGAAAAAACUGCUAAAUGUAAGAGAAAUAGUAAAUGGUAAAGAUAAAUAGCUACAAAUGUACCUUAACAGAUCUAAGGAAUGCUUGUCUGUGCUAGGAUGAAGCUUUCCUUGCUCACAACCCUGUGGUAUCGGCAGUUUUAAUUGUUUGUAAAGAACAUUAGCAACGUCCGCUGUUGUGUGUAGUGAAAAUGGCGUGCCAGCUAAUGUGUGAGCUUCCUUCUCAAGCUCCUUAAGCUUUUUUAUUACAAUAUUCCUUGCGUGUAGACAUGCUUCCAUAUCAACACCAAUACCCCAAAGCUCCAUGUCCGCAAGCACAUUAACCUACAAUUGAAGUACACAUAUUCCUUUAUAUAAAAAAUGAAUUGAACACCUGUUUGAAAUCCAAGAAAUAGCAGAUGCUUAGGGGGCGUUUGGUUUCCUGUAAAAAUGAUCAGAAAAAUUUUUUCCACCAGAAAAAUUUUUUCCAGUGGAAAAUCAUUUUUCUAGCGUUUGGUUCGACGUAAAAAAAUUUUACAGGAAAAAUUAUUUUACAGAUUUCAUGUAAAAGCCAGCUUUUCGUUUUUCGCCGAAUCUCGACGGAAAACGAAAACUAUCGUGGCUCAUGAGGCUUCCNUAUAAAUAUAAAUUAUAAUAAUUAAAUAUAUUAUGAUAAUUAUUAUAUAUUAAUAAUAUAUAAUAUAUAUAAUAAAAAAUAUAUUAAAUAUUUUUUUUUCUUUUCCUUUCAACCAAACAACCGUUACGGAAAACUAUUUUUCUUUUCCUACAAACCAAACACAAACAACGUAAAACUUUUUUCCCACCAAAAAUUUUUUUUCCACCGAAAAUUUUUUUUCCAUAGUUUUACGUGGAACCAAACACACCCUUAACGAAAACCAAAUACCAAAGGUAAAAGUUAAUGACUGAAGAUACCAAUGGAGUCUCAAUAUUAGAAAUCACUUCACCGAGGUUCUCAGAAACAAGUAAUUUCCCUAGAACAGAACUCAGUGCUCGUGUCUGUGCAACUCGGCGGCAGCAACCAUUGUGUGCGGCUUUAUGCAUUUGAUUUCUCCACCUACCAUCCCGAUUAGCCGCAGCUGCAGCCUCACUGGAUAGCCUUUUCUUGACUACCUACUCAUAUGCAGAAGUUUUUUCGAAAAAUAAUUAAUAUUAAUUCAAGCAUAAACCACUAAGGCUUAAAAUGGACGGCCUUAUUUUUGAAAAACUCAGAAAAUAGAAAUCUAUAAGCCCAAAAUUAUAUUCAAGAUAUAGCAAUUCAAGCCAAAAAUUGGUAAUACCUUGUCAAUAUUCGGUGUUAUUUUGCUUUCCUCAUCAGGCCAAAGGACCCAUGACACCAAGCAUAUGUCAAUUCCGCCAUGGACAACAAUAGAUGGUAAUUGGAUAUACGAACUGUUAAUAACUUUAAUGUCGUCCAAGUUCUUAUGGUCCAGACCAAGCCUUCCAAACCUUUGAAUAGAAAUGCAGGGAGCUUUAAGAGCCUGAAUCUGAGUCUUCAAGUUCCACGUUGUUUUCUUAACACCAUUCUGUUGCAUUAUUUUACCUAUCAUAUUCCACCUACUUUUAGCAACCUCCCAUAUAUCACACAUACUGAGCUUGUUUGUGGAAAGAAGAUCCUUUGGGAGGCUACAAUAAAAGACCGGAGAAUUCUUCCAACAGAUAGCCAAGCCAAUAACUUCAAACUGGACCAAAGAUCGUGUAUCUGAAUGUUUUAAGAAAUGAACAUCAAAAGAAAACUCACUCACACCAUACCAUUGAUCCAAGAAGGAAUCAAAUCCACCUGGAAAAUUGCAUGCAUUGAUGGGACCUUUCUCGGUUGUAUUUUGGUCAUGGAAAGUGCAUAAAUUCUCCCCCUCAAUCUUUCCUUCUGUAUCAUUAUUGCAUUGUAAUGCUUCAGAAGAUAUCACUUCUCUAGAAGUUUCCAAUGUCAGGUUUCCCUCUCUGGUUAACCUUUUUUCACAUGGCUCUUCAGAAGUAUAAUCACACUUAGAAUUUGUAUCUUUUUCCUUAAAGCUAUUAAUGGGUUGAGGGCUAUUAGAAGUUUCUUCUUCAUUAUAAGAAACUGUAUUAACUCUGGUGCGAGAGUCCUCAGCAACUGUAGGGAGUAUAGGACGUGAAAAUUGAGGAACAUGAACGCCGAGUGACUUGAAAGCAGCGAAUGCAGCAAUUCUAGCUUCUUCUGCUUGGUCAAGCACGAUUUUGCGGGCCCCAUUUUUUAUCUUCUUGGCUACACCCAAUUGCAUUCGUCGCAGAGAAGGACCAUCUAGAUAUCCAAUUGGUUAAAAAGAAGGUUAGCCAAUAGCAAGGUAAUAUUCUAAAAGUAAUUAAUAAAGGAAGAAGAAAAGCCUGAAGAACAAAUUAGAAGAUAAGAAUCAGAUUGAAUAUAACAACCACUGUAGUACAAAACUUCCAACAACCUUCUUCUCCCCACCGGGAAAGCGAAAGAAAGAAGCUUCACAAAAACAUAAUACAAGGCCCUAGAGAUUUUAAUUAAGGGUAUAUAAAGCAUUUAAACAACUGGGGUUUGCUGAUGACGAGGAAAGUAAACUGGACCGUGCAUUAUGAUGGUUGGAACAACAUGGGUAGCGGAAACAUUUAAUUAGACAGGAUCAGGAUUCAAUGUUGCUAGUAAGAUUCAGCUUAGAACUAUGCCACCCAUGUAACUUCAUAUACAAGCAUGCACACGAGAAAUUAAGUGGAUGCACACAAUCACCUUGUCUAAGAAUAUAUGUAAGCCUUUAUACAUAUUCACAAAUAUACGUAGACGUGUAUGUGGUGUCCUCUGUGUGCGUGCGCGCACGCAUGAGAGAGAGAGAGAAAGAGAUGCAAAAACAAAUUUAUGACCUUGACCUCAAAAGGUAUAUAGGAAUUUGACAAACUUGACCUCUGGAAUAAUCAAGGAACCUGCAAUGCAGGAAAACAUUGCAACCUGCCCAUUUAUGGUCUACUUUGAUGUAUCCUGCCUAUUUAUGGUCUACUUUGAUGCAGCCUGCCUAUUUAUGGUCUACUUUGAUGCAUCCUGCCUAUUUAUGGUCUACUUCGAUGCAGCCUGCCUAUUUAUGGUCUAUUUUGAUGCAACCUUCUGGACUCAAUCCAUUCCCUAAGUUGACUUUGAACGCCUAAGUUGCUAGAAAUCAGUGCAUGUUGAAUUGCAUAUCAAAACCGCACAACUGCAACGGCUAAAUGCAUGAAUUGACUAAGAAAAAAAUAAUAAUUCUUGAGAACUGUGUAUGAGAGCAUGAGUCAAUUGCCAACUAUGAUGAUAAGUAUUAAAUAGACAACUUUUCAAGUGAAUUCUGAAGAACUCACCUUGACCAGACCACGACGAAAUUUCAAAAAGUGCCUUUGCAAUCUCAGAAACAGAUGCUUCAGCAAUAGCAAGAGGACUGCGGAGACCACCCUUAUAAAGAGCCCUUGCACGUGAGCCCUAUAGUACCACAAAAGAAAGGGAAAAAAAUUGCAAUACACCAAACUGCAUAAAUUGCAUGAGAAGGCUAAGGACUUGCAUUGCCUGUUACAAGCUUCUGUUGAAACUGUUGAAGUAGGGAUGCUCGAAAAAUGAGUAAUAACUUGUUUAUCGACAGCUUCCCACUGCAAAAGCAGAAGCUUCUACUUGGAGCUUCUGCUUUCAAAUCCCGGACACUCGUUUAAGCUUCCCACCACAGCAAAAGCUCAAAAUUUUCUUCUCAAGAAACACUUAGUCUGCAUUUUGCAGUAGAAAGCAUUCCAAAAGCCAAGCUGAAGAAGCAUAAAAACAAAUUCUAGGAUACAACAAAAAAUUCCAUAAUUUAGUAAGACCUUAACAUAGGGAAUCGUAGUAAGUUCAGCAAUCUCUGCCCUAACUCCAAAAGAGACCCGAUUCUGGAACUUGGAAAUAAGACCUUCUAAAUCAUGCCAACCAAGUCUCUCACAGAAUACGGAAACCAUCAAGGCAAACCUGCCAGCAUUUUCUUGUAAGGCCUGAAUCAUGCCUCUAGCAACUUUAAAUGACUCACAAACAUCAGCAACUGGGACCUCCUGGAGGAAGAUUUCAAAAUGUCAGUAGAAAAGAACCAAUACUGCUACUAAAUCAUCUAUAGUAACUGGAGAAAAACAAGCGUAUAUAAAGAAUCCUAAUCAAAGCAUUGUGUCUCGGCCUCUAUGCAAAAGCACAAGAAAUACAUAAUUUCAUCUAUUUUCAAGUUAUUAUCAGAUCUCCAAAUUUCUAACUUCUAAGGGUUUAUUGCUGCAACCAAAUCCACCAGUUUCUUCUCUAACUAGUCAUAAAUUGUAAAUCAGAUAUCUAGCAAUUCCGAAAACCUCCCUAGUUAGCACCAUAGAUAUGGAGGAUAGUAUAAAGAGAACUCAGAAUGCUAGAAUUUUGAAGCAGAUAGGAAGCAAAGUAAAUACUAGGCAUAAAUAAAGCAUAGCAUUUUACAAAAAUUAUGACUAAGGUUGAGGUAUCAUCCUAAAUGUACUCAUAUUAACCGUCCAUACAUUUUUACUCUUAAAAAGAGUACAUAACAAGGAGAAAAGUACGUCACUUGAACAAGUCUUGAUAACAUCAGCGCAACAUAAAAUCGUUUUGACACUCGAAUGGUUUGCUCAUUGAAACCUGUCCCCAUCUUUCCGGUAUCAUUCCGUGUUUUUGACUUUUCAUGCAUCCCACUCUUCUUACUUUGUUGCCUCAUUUGAACAGGUAUGGGUGCACCAUGGGCCAUCCGCAUCAAGAAGGGCUCCACAACUCCCACGCGAUUGCCCACUGACUGUAUUAUUCAAAUUCCGUAGGUAUAUUAGUUCGAAACAAGACAAAGAAAUGCAAUAGUAAAAUGAUGAAGCAUCUGAUAUGCUUCCAAUGUUCUAAUUUAAAAUGAAGUGAAGUGUGCAUGCCAAUCAAGUUAUUAGAAAUCAUAAGGAAGAAAAAUUAUUGUUGACUAAAACUGCACGAGUUUUGUGAUUCAAGGAGCCUUUUCACUCUUGAGAUUGCAGUUAUAUCGAUGGCACAUCCAUAUCCAUCUUUUUAGAGCAAGAGUCACGAAAAAAAUCUUACGAAACCAAAAAUACUACAGAUUACAAGGGAAGAAGAAGAAGAAAUCAAAUAUCCACUCUCAUCCACAAAAACAAUAUCCAUAUCCAUAUCCAUCUUUUUAGAGCAAGAGUCACUUUUUUCUUGUCGCAUAUAAUAGCAUCAGCUUCAUUGAUACGCUACAACCAGCAGAAACAAAAACAAUUGAAAGAAGAUAACGAAGAACAAGCUUGCAUUGAAAGACACAACAAAAGAAGUCUAAACAUAUUUAUUGCAUAAUAUUCAUUCAAGUGGGAUAGUUAUUUUGACAAACAACUGGUGGAUUUUAAGUCACCACACCACCUUGCAUAGUCGAUGUCAGUUUAGUAUGGUAGCACUCCAUCAUAUUUUGGACAAAGGACAAUAAUUAAGAUGCAUAUACAAAAAAGCUGAUGUCAAUCUACCUGCUCAAUGGCAGAGAGUUCCACAAACCUCUCAUAAUAUAAUUCCCAAUCUGGUUCAACCUCAACAUUAAUUGGCGUCACAAGAAAAACUAAAUGCAAAUCAGAUGCUAAGACGAAGCCUUCUCUUGCCCUUGAAAGAUCAUCUAGCACGACCUACAGCAAUGAGUAGCACAAGUUCAUGCAACACGAAUACCUAGAAAAGAAUUGCAACAAGAACAAAAUACUAGUAGUAAAAAACAGUAAAUAAUAACAAAGAAAAAAGAUGAAAAAAAAAAUGUCAAAAGCCCUACAAGUGAUUCUUCAGGAGUGAGCGAACUGCCAAAAGCUGCUCGUCCAAGAGGAGUUGUACUGUACAAUUUAGUAUCCUCAUUCCACUCGAGAAACUUUUUGUGGCACAACCAACGAAGUGAAUCUUGAGCUGAUUUGACAACAUCUUGAAAUGGCUUAGUAGAGUUUAGAAGAGUACAUCUAACAUAUCGAUGAAUGUCACUUGCUGUUUGCACAAUCCCGCCAGCAACAACCUCCAUUAUCGCAUGAGUCAUGCCAUUUUUAUCUUCAGAAAGGCAAGAUUGCAAUGGCGGACAGCUACUAUUAAGAAUACCAGAAAUCCUUUUGACCUCAUCAGGCUUACAUAUAAGUAUCUGGGAGAGAGAGCACGAAGGAAAUUAAUAAUUUUCAACUAACAAAACCUAAUAAUGCAAGCAGUUGAAAGGUAAAAUCAAUAACUAACGAUUUAACUACCAACGAGGCAGAUAACUUACACUUUCUCCUUUUGUGUCUAUGCCAGUUCGACCUGCCCGACCAGCCAUCUGUCUAUAUCGAGUUCCGUCAAUAAAAUCACGACCAACCCUAGGUUGUCUAAAUAUGACUCUUCUAGCUGGCAAGUUAACUCCGGCAGCCAAGGUAGAAGUUGCUGUCAAAACACGUACAAGUCCUUUACGGUAGCAUGUUUCAACAAUUUCCCUCUCUUCAACCUGUGAGGCAUCAGCUACAAACUUAAGUUUCACUGGAUUUCAAUUUGUUCACACAUUUCAAUUGAAAUAGUUUAGCACAAGUUCAUUCCUGGAGUUUCAACUUUAAACCUAAACAUCAAACUUGGUUUCUAUUUUAUCCUUAAAGUUUUGACCUCAUAAGUUUCGUCAUCAAAGUUUCAAUAUUCAUGAAAAAGUUUACUGAUUGUGCCGGCAUGGCACUUUUUUCGAACAACAUAACAAAGAAAGGAUUUGUUGCACAGAACAAACUUCUCGAACUAAAAUUUUACAAUAGAAAAUUUGAAAAUAGGGGGAGGAUAUAAUGUAGGUCAAAGUUCAAGGACCAAAGUGGGAAUUUACUCCUCCCCCCUACAAAAAGCUCUUGAAGUAACAAAAUUAUGAAUGCCUUCUAUGUGUCAAAAGGUUACCAAGAAUCCAAUAUAAGCAAAUUAAUGAUGUAAUAAAGAUCUAGGUGACACACCGUAAGACCAGCAUGAUGAUAGGCUACACCCAAAGGAAGUGUUUCUGCUAAUAUAGGGUCCAAUCCAGCUGGACACCUACGCAAGGCCUCAAUAGUAGAGGAAGCAUCACUAAACUCGGAGUCGGCUCCACUCAUUCCAACUGAGAAUUUCUUUAGAAACCUGGAGACAUGUCUUGCAGUCAUCUCGCAUCCUUUCCGACUGGAACAAAAUAAAAGCACCGAGUGACCUUGUUGAACAACCUGUAUAAAUUCUGUUGAGCGUUACAUAAUAGAAAGAUAAUCAAAUGAUUUCUAGUUAUCAAACUGAGCUAAUCACAAUUCAAUUUACACUAAUAUACGAAAUUUUUGAAAUACCUCAUUACAUAGUUCUACAAUGUGAUCUGGAUCUUUACCCCCAAGAUCAGCAGUUUUCAGUAUCGUCCGGACAACAUUCAUUCUUUUGUCAAAGAUGGUGUUCCCAACUUUUAUGUAUUCCUCAAGGGGAACAGGCCGAAAAUCUGUCUCAUAUAGUGCUGCCUAGGAGUAUAAUACAUGGAACAUCAAUUAUCAAAACCAGUAUAUUACCCUUUAAGUUGGAGCAUACUGUCACAUUCCAAAGAAAGGUAGGUUUCAAAUCACCAAAUAAAAAUAAAAAAUAAAUUUGCUGUUACUUACUAACACAAGCUACUAGUUAAAAACAUGUAAUUGCUCCAUAUAGCUUAUGAACAAGUAAAACAUCCACGUAAAUUUUCAUAUUUUAUUGCCAAGAGGUAAAGCAUGAUUGAUUAAGUUUGGUGAGUAAAAUUACUAAUUGAGCAUCUCCUAAGUCAAAAAUAACUGAAGCAAAAUCAUCUAUCAAUGCAUGCAUGUCAACCCAGAAUUUUUGAACAAAAUCCUACUUAGUUCUGAACCAAAUUCAUGAAAAGUUUUAUCCAGCUGGAUAGGCUAUAUUAGUAACAUUAGAUAUAAGACAGAAGCAUAGGAAAUUCACUUCACUUAUCAGUAAUAAGUGAACUAGAUUGAAACCGUAUGACUGCAACAAAGGCAUAAGAAGUUAAUGAACCAUUGGAUUGGAGAAGAAUUUGAGUAAAAACAGAAUUGGUGAAGGCCUAAAAGAGCUUCUUUAUACAACCAAAAAUAAGUGAACUAGUAAAGAUGGGUAAGAAACAAAAUUUACCGCUCACCACAGUUUGCUGCUCAAAGUCAUAUUUUAACAAUCAUCUACUACUUGGUUCACUAAUGAUAAUGAUAAGUUUACAGCAUGUUUGGAUGCAUUUAAUAUCUUAUUCAGCUUAUCUCCUUUGUUUAUUAAAGUGCAUGUCAUAAUUGGUAUAGAGAGCACAAAGACAUACCCAUAAUCUAAUAGUAUAAUGGCCUCUAAAUUCGAAAAGUCAGUAGUACAAUUUCCCAAUAGCUAAAUGUCAAACUCUUAGGUUGUAAUAACAAAAUAAAAUCCACAAACAGCACAGUUAUCACAGAAUAACUUGUUCCAACAUCCAAACAGACCCUCGGCAUAUUACUGUUUGAAUAAACUAGUGCUUACUUGCAGCCAAUCAGCUACAGCUGCAACAUUUGGCAUAGUAGCACUCAUGCCAACAAUCUGCAAGCCGCGAGCUGGAUCAGGCUUUCCGCUACUAGAACCUGAACUUUCACCACUAGAUGCUUCUGAGGUUCCUUCACCGGCGGCAUAGCGAAGCUUAGUCAAUAUUAACUCUAAAAGAUACCCUCUAUGUUGGUCACCGACCUAUAGUCACAGGAAAUAACUGUAAGAAAAAACAGAAAAACUGGGAAAUUACUACAAAAACAAUCCAACAAACUAGAUUCCAAGUGGAAAAGCCCAUAAUCAUAAGAACCUAAUGUUGCAUCUUUUCUCUACAACAUAUAUAACCAUUAAGGACAGUUUAUUCGAAUUUCACCUUUAAAAAUAUAUCUACGUAGUACACAUCCAAAGUCAAUGAUUAGUCAUAUUUAAAAAAAAUAAAAAUAAAAAACAUAGCUAGUGCUUCGAAUACCUAAAAGAUGCAUCUAUAUACUUCGAGUUUAAUACUUUCCUACAAUAAAGAAAAAUUACGUUUGAAGAAGUCUAAGGCUCAAAAAGAGACCAAGCUGCACCUAUGAAUUUGCCUAGUGUAAGAUAAAUUAAUGAAGACAUUAUAAACAUAUCAAAAAUGUGGCGUCCAACAAGUUAAAGAAGAGUGGGUGAAAUGACAAGAAUCAAAUAGACAUAUUACCAUAUGUAAUUCAUCUAUCACAAUGAUUCCAAGUUCAGACAGACGACCUUCUUCUAACAACCUGUUAAUUAAAGAAUUUGCCUUCUCUAUGGUACAUACAGCUACAGAAGUAUCUUUAGGAAGUGAACCUCCUCCCUGAUUUCCAAAAAAACUCCGUACAUUCUUACCCAGUGGCUCCAAAAGUAGUUCUAAGUGUUCAGCCUGUGGAAAAAUAAAAAUAGUGCUCUAUACAAAAUAAGUGACUAACUUUGAUGAAGUCAAAUUAACAAUUUCUAGCUUCAAUACUAAAUGAACCUUUUCAGCACAGAUUGAUACAUAAGGCAGGACAAGCAAUGCCAUCUUUCCAGUUGAUAUAAUUCUUCUCAACAUCAGAAUUUCAGCUACAAAACUUUUACCAGCACUGAAAUACAGAACCAAAUGAGAUCAAAAUAAACCCAAUAAAGCAUAGCAUAAGAAAAUUCUCAAGAUACACUACAUGAACCUACGAAAGGGCUUUACAGCACUAGCAAGUAAAAAGAAUUUAAAGAACAGUAGUCUUUAAGGGUGUUUAUCUGUAGCACAUCCCUACAUCUAAACUUUGUAUGUUCUCAGUGAUAAAUUAAGAUCAUGAAUAAUAUUUAACAUAAGGUGCUCCAAUAAAUAGAGAAACAAGUUACAAACAUACUCUAAACAUCAAAAAUCUUUGUACAAGGAAAUGCAGUAUCUUUGAUAGUGGAUCAUAAAUUUAUUGUGCCUAACAUAGAUAAAAGGGGAUAUAUUGCUUGAGCCAAGGUUGUUUAGAUUUGCUUUUCUAUCCUCAUCCAAGUUCUUGGCUCCCAGGCCCUUGAUAAUAUGAUGAAAUACAAAGGGAGUUCCUAUUGUGGCAAUUUUAUAGCUUCAGAAAAAAUUGAAAAGCACAUAUGUGCUUUCACCUUAAACUUAUUUCCUAUGUGUGUCAAUCCAAGACGCAAAUGUACAAACAAGCCGGUAGCUAGGAUAGGACAAUCUUAUGAGGUAGAAAAACAAAGCAGCAAUUUUGAUCUCCGAGGCAUCAAACAAGUCUUGGUAUUAGAUAUAAUAGAAGGUAAGAAUUCGUCCACGGGGAAUAAUUAAGACCUUUGAUAGGAAAUCUAAAAAUAUGGCAAUGAUGAACUUGCAAAUUUCUGCAAAUAAAUAUAAUGCCAGAAUACUGGUUAUCUCAUUGUAGAACUGUACAGGUAAGACAGCCAAGCAAGAGUGCUUCUUAUGAACUUUAGAUGCUUACCUAGUAGAUGCACAAUAAACAAGAUUUCUUCUUUCCAAGACCCCUUCAACAAGCAGACAUUCAACCUGAUAUUUAAAAAAUCAAAAUCAAUCAUAUAUCAAUGGAGCAGCGAUUUCCUCAAUUAAUUGGGUCCCUGAUAUCUAGCCAUGUUUUACUAUUAUCCCGCUAACAAAAAUAACUGAAUUGCUACCAAUUUGUCUCAUUUGUUCUCCGGAGAAGUAUGCUUGAAGAAAAGAUACAAAAACACAAAGAUCCAAGAAGCAACCUGCCAAGGAUAUAGUUUUGAUAUGCCUUUUUUCAUAUAUAUGCUGCAAAGUUCUGGUGGAAGCCAACUCGCAAGCUUCAAACGAUCAUAUAAUGGCAUAGAACUGGUAGGAGUGCAGGCUUCCUGUCCUUGAGAAAGUGGUCUUAUCUGAACUUUUUCCCCAAUAUUAUGUUCGUCAGCAACACAAUUCAGUGGACCAACACAUAAGUUUCCGUUGUUAGUUUUGAAGUUACUGUCAUUUCCCAGAGUAACCAAUCCACCUUUAUUUCCAUUAAUAUUCCUUUGAGUUGUUAAAACUUUUUUCUCUUCACAUACAGCCAAAACAGGAGCGUUUUCUGGUUGAUGUGAAAUCUCAAAUAAAGAUACUGACUCGCAAGAAUCCAGGACUGAGUCACUUGAAGAAGCACUUGGUUUUCCAUCAAACUUAAUUCUUUUUAUGUUAUCUUUGGGAUUUACAGCUCUUGUGCCUCCUUCAUCUUUUUUGAGAUCUCGAUUUCUUGAAUUUUCCCCGUCCUGAGAGAAGUCUAGCUGCUUUACUGGCAAAGGGGAGGCAUUUUUGUGCUGGCUUACUUUAGUUUCUUCAGCAGGUUCGUCAAUUGGCUUCACACAAUCAGUAGCCACCAUGUUUCGGCCCUCUAAAUCAUCAUUUCUAGACUUAUAAAAACUUUUAGAACAGUGAGCAGCAGCUGCAACAGAUGAAUUAUCUUCCAAUAACUUAAUGCCAAAUUUAUCAUCUGGAGCAAAUAUGCCAUCAACAACUUGGAUUGCCGCAUUCCAAAACUCCUCUCCCGGCGAGAUUAUAGAGUUCCUAAAUGCAGAUUUUGGGGUCUCAUUAUAAACAGGCAUGCAAAGCCCAGUCUUCAUCAAGCUAGAUUUUGGGGUAUUAUUACAUCUUCUCAAGCUCACAUGUCCAACACCACUUUCCUUCUCGGACUCACCACCCAAUCCCUGCACAAUUUCAAGCAAUUAUCUCUUACCCAUUCAUAGAGUCAAUAAAAUUGGUACGUGGGUUUACUUUGUUUACAUUAUUAGUAUUUUUAUUAUUCCCUGUAGAGCUCACGAGUACUCCAUCCCCAAGCUUCGUAUUCAGCUCAAUCUCUGCAUGUGGAUCAUUCUGAUUUACGGCACACUGCUUCUUUGCACGAAUUUUAUCACUUGAGAGGACAAGAGAAGGGCUUCCAUUUCUCUUUAGUCCCUUUGAUUCAUUCUCCGCAGGAGGAUUAACAGCGGAAGGUAUGUCACUAUUAAAAGAUCAGCAAAAACAAAUCAAGAUUGAAAUCUAUAUAAAAUCUUGAGAUCUUGACUAACUAAACUAUCGAGAUAAAUUGACAAGGGAAUGAAUGCACUCAAUUACCUGCAAUAAAGAGACAAGAAAUCCGCCGCGAACCUCUUGAGCUCCGAACUCCCACCGCCUUCGACACUAACGCCACCAGAUGGGUCUUCAACAUUCGUAGGCGCACCAUUCUCGGAAGAGCGUGAUCUUGGGACCGCAUCAGAACCAACCGAACCUAUCUCGGCCGACAGAUUCCUUCUCGCUGGUUCACGCCUCGCUGCAGCGGCAUCUCGGUGCCCCGGGCGCGGCGCGGGAUCGGGAGAUCUCACCAAGUAGCCAUCUAGGGUUCCCUUGGCGCCCGGGGACCCAUUGACGGGGCUUCUAGGGUUCUUGUCGCAUCUCUCGUCCUUCGCCGGUGGGGGUUUCCGCUUUCUUGAAGCGAAGAACUGGUGAUCGGAUUAAGAAGAAGCAAUUAGGGGUCAGAUCGUUCUCGUGAUGCGAUUGCGAAUAGUGAAGGGAAGAGAUUGGAGAGGAGGAGGAGACGAGCGAACCUGAUCGAUGCGAGCUCGGGGGCUCCCGGAGGCCAUGCGGCGGAGGCGGCGGAGGCGGCGGAGGAGAUCGCCGGAGAGGGAGGGUUUUAGGUUGAGGGACAAGGGUUGCCUGGAAGACGAGGCGAUUAAUAUUUAUAGCGCUACCGCAUUUGAAAUGAAAAACGAACCGCCAAUGGCGAGAACUCGCCCAUAAGUAUUAGUGGUACUCUACAUAACGGUAGCACUAUUUUUUUAGCUGUAUACGACGGGUUAAUUAAAUUUCUCUUUUGAACAAAAAAAUAUCAUAAUUUUUUUGAAAAUAUAAUGAAAUGAGUGUACUUUAAAAAUAAAUUUGAUUUAGUCAGACUCAGGGCCUUGGAUGGUACCGUAUCAGGGCCACAUCUUAGACUUUUUUUUUUUCACAUGGGAGCAAGAAGGCGAAAAUGUAUACAAAUUAAUCCACAAUAAGUCUAUAACUCGAUUCUUUUUUGAGCAAUAUGACUUAUACUUGAUAUGUCUUAUUUUCUAAUCUCGCUCAUUAUUUUUAAUAUUAAAAAUUUAAAAUAAUUUUUAAAAUUUUUGGACGAUGAAAUGUAAACUUUACAUCCUAUAAUAAUAGGAAAGGCAAAUAAUCUUUUGCGUGAGAUUUUUUUUGCGCGGAGUUCAUUCAGUUGUUAGAUUUUCAUACCGUCUAUAUCAGAUUGUGUAAAUUAACUAUACUAAAAACCAACGGUCGGAUAAAACUCAUACAUAGAAAAUUCUAUACCGACAAUUUAAAUUUCGAUAAUAAAGUGUACCGGUAAUAUUCACAAACUAAUCAAAAAUCUGAUGACUUAUCACUAACAUAGUAAUGCUAUAUCAUAAUGCGUAAACUAAUAUUUUAUAAAAAAAUUGUUAGCCUCAUCCGUAAUUAUCUGCACAUAAAAGUAAAUAAAAAUAAAAUUGUGGCAGUCACACAUCGUUUUAAGCCAAUAUUUUUUUAUUUUCAGUUAUAGAGUUUUGAAAGUGAAAGCAUUUUUUCCCUUUCCUUUCAAUUUUUAUUUCAAAACUCAUAUAUUUGAAAGGUGAAAUUUACGUUGAACUAUACUUCGACUUUCGAGUAAACUAGAAUUUAGGCAAAAUUAUUAAUUUUUUUGUUUGUUUGUAUAAUUUUGUAACUAAUAUUUUUAAGUUUGGUUGUUUUAUUUUGUAGAAAGUAAACAAGAUAAGAGUAGGGAAUGGUAAUGCUUUAUUAUUUUUUUUCGUAAUUAAUUUUAAUUUUAAUUAGGUCGAAAUUAAUUAUACUGUUUUGAUUGAUUAGUUUGAAUUUCGACCCGAACGAUAAAAAUUGACAUUUUCGACGGAAUACCACGGCACUCCUCUAUUUUACGAGUAAUGUACUAAUAUACUAAUAUAAUAUGUCAUAUUAGCAUCACAUCAUUAAUAACAAAUAAAUUUUAUAUAUAUAUAUAUAUAUAUAUAUAGAGUGAGGCUACUAUGCUAUCGGAAGCACGAAGCCUUCCGUGCUUCCAGCUCGUUUUCGAUGUUGCGACUUUCGAAUUGUCGAUCGGCUCCGUUAUACUUGAUUUAGAGUAUUUGGAGUACCUAGAAAAUAAAUUUUAUUAUUUUUCGAUAUCAUUUGCCUAGUAGUCGAAUGGGCUCAAAAUCAACAAAUUUUAAUGGCUGAAGUGAGCCGUUUGUAAGUUUAACGAUGUAGAAAUAUUCAAAUCACGUGAAAUUUUGAUAGAAAAUUCUUUAUAUUAUAUAAAACAAUAUCAAUAUUUUUGAUUUAAAAUUUUAAUGUCAUAUUAUUACAUUUUGUAAGAUUUUUAUUUUCAACCGUUGAUUUUGAGCCCCUUCGUUUACUAGGCAAAUAAUAUCGUAAAAUCAUAAAAUUUUUUUUCUAGAUACUUCAAAUACUCUAGAUCAAGUUUAACGGAGCCGAUCGACGAUUCGAAAGUCGCAACAUCGAAAACGAGCUGAAAGUACGGAAGGCUCCAUGCUUCCGAUAGCAUAUAUAUAUAUAUAUAUAUUAAAAAAGGGCUUUUUUUGCAUUUAGCCCCCUGAAGAAUUUUUAUUUUAAAAGUAGCCCUAUCAAAAUUUAAUUUGCAAAAAUGGCCCUACUCCUGCCACGCAAGCGCCACGUCAGCGCCACGCGGGCGGGGCUGGGGGCGGUAGUUAAGUUAAACACGGUGAAUCAUUCACCGUGUUUAGACACGGUGAAUGAUUCACCGUGUUUAGUACGUAUUUUUUGUAGAGGAAUAGGGAGUUAGGGAUGUUAAUGGGGUAUGGAUAUUCAAAAUAUUAUUCGAACCUAAACCCGAAUAAAUUAUUUUAUAUACAUAAUUUAUUUUUAUUUAUUUAUACAAUAUAUAAAAUAUCCAAUAAUUUUUAUUUCUUAGAUCUUCAUCCAAUCCAACGGUAUAAAAUAUCUAAUAAUUUUAAAAAUCUAUACCAUUGGAUUGAUGAAGAUCUAAGAAAUAAAAAUUAUUAGAUAUUUUAUAUAUUGUAUAAAUAAAUAAAAAUAAAUUAUGUAUAUAUAUAAUUUAUUCGGGUUUAGGUUCGAAUAAUAUUUUGGAUAUCCAUACCCCAUUAACAUCCCUAACUCCCUAGGAAAAAAUACGUACUAAACACGGUGAACCAUUCACCGUGUUUGAACACGGUGAAUGGUUCACCGUGUUUAACUUAAUACACUGGCCCAUGCCCAGCCCGCGUGGCGCUGACGUGGCGCCUGCGUGGCAGAUGCAGGGCCAUUUUUGCAAAUUAAAUUUUGAUAGGGCUAUUUUUAAAAUAAAAAUUU